UAGGAAGUUCAAGAUUGAGUUGUUGAGAUGUAAUGCACUUUGACAAACUGAUGCUGGUCAAUUGAAACUUUGGGACUGAGGUAUAAAAGGAAGGUUCCAUUACCAUCUUGUUUUCAUCACCGGAAAGGACUUUGAGGUUUGAAAGGUUUGCAAAUGGUGCGAAUGAUAGUGGAAUUUGAAAACGGUUUGCUGAAAUAUCUAACUCACGAAGAGAUGUCAAGUUACUGAAACAAUGAGGAAGCAUCCCCUCAAGUGCAUUCCCACUCACAUCCAACACUUCAAGGUUCCUUAGAUCACACCAUCCUGAAAAAUUUAUAAAUUCAUUGAAGAAAUUUUAAUUAAAUUUGAUCCUAUUAAACAUAAUAGGAGAUAUUAUAUCCCAGAAGGCUCAUAAAGAAGUCAAUUUGACCCAUAAAUUUAUUUACCAUGAUUAGGUAAGGGACCGAUAAGUCCACAAUCAUGUAAAGACAAUGUUUUAAGAGAAGCGAAUACUCCAAUGCUUUGCAAAAUGUUGGUGUUGAGAGUAGAUCCGCCAAAAUAUAAUUCCUCCACAUUACUCGACACAUUUAAUUCUAAAGGAUGAGAAGAGGUAUUAGAUGUUAAUCAAACGUAAGCUGUUUUGGAAAAGAAAAUAAUGACUUUCACUUACCUUGAGUAGCCAGAGUCAUGUUCAGAUAAUUGUAUUGUAGAUGAAAGGCUUUAACUGAUGAGAAAGCCUCCACUAAAUUUUGUAAUGGAAUGCUUCCAUCGGUGAAGCGUGAUAAAGAAACAAAACUUUCAAAUUUCUCAAUCCCUUAUUUUCUGUAAGUGAAAGAAAUAUAUAAAUAUUUAUUUUCAUCAAUAAAAUAAAAUUUUAAUAGAGAAUGUCCAAAUCUUAACAUAACUAUUUAUUCAUUUUAUUAAUUAAACUAAUCCCUUUUUUUUUUCUUCUUUUAGCAUUCUAAGAUAAAAUAUAAUUUCAAAAUAAUUUUUUUCUUGAUUCAUAUCAGAUUUAAAUAUGUUUGAAAUUAAUUUAGCAUUUAAUUCCUUAAUAUUAGUAUUUGGUACUAGUAAUGGAGUUUUUUAACUCUACAAGUGAAGUUAAAAAAUGGCCAGUAACCUAUUUCUUUUAAAUAUUUCUUUUUUUAAUAUUUUAUUAUACCAUAUAAUAUAUUUGUUAUUAUCUCAAUCCUACUUAUGAAGUUUAGAAUUUCAUUAAUAGUACCACCCCGAUUUUUUUUAAAAAACCAGAUUUUUUUUAAAAAAAAAUUUGAUAAAAGAAAAGAGUUUCAUUAAUAGUACUAAAUAUUUUCCCUUAAACUUAAUUUACUUUGUACUCAAUUAUAAAUGUUAAGAAAUAUUUUACAAUCUAAUAAAUAAAUUUUUAAUUAAAUUCUCCAUAUUAAAUCAAAAUUUUAAAGCACUAAAUCAUUGCCCUAAAAUUGUCAAAAUACAUCCUUUUGAAUUUUAAAAUUUAUGAAUUCCGAAACAGACUUUCAGCAUCUCAAAUUCUCUAUUUAAAUUUCACCUACAUAGUUUUUUUUUUUUUUUGGAAAUUCUUCAAAAUCUCAUUUAUUUAAAUCAUGGUUCUAUUAUAAGAAAGAAAAUUUUAAACUAAAAAAAUAUUAUUUUUAUUUAAAUCUAAUGUGCAUCUUUUUCUCUUUACAAAAAUAAAUUUUCAAAAUUCAAGUCUAACUAUUAAUAUUGUUGAAAUUAUUUUAUUAAAUCCAUGUUCAUUACGUCAUCUUUUAGUUACAUUGCUAACAAGUUCUUUUAUUUCAAAAUGUCAACACCAAUAAAUUAUUUUUGAAAAAUAACAAUGUUAAUAAUUGAACUUGGAUUUUGAAAUUUAAAAAAUAGAGGGAUCAAAUUCCCAAAAACAAAAAUACAAGAAUUAAAUUACAAAAAAGUUAAAUCACAUUUUUUUAAACCAAAAAGUUAAUAACAUGUGCAUUUUGAAAUUAAUAAAAAAGUUUGAAAAAAAAGUUUAAGCACCUCAAAAUGUAAGUUUAAAUUUCAUAAAAUUGAAGUUUUUUUUUUAAAUUAUUCAAAAUUGAAAUUUAUUUAUUUUUGGCCAAAAAAUGUCAUUUAUUUAACUCUAAUAUGUAUUUUUAUGUUUUAUACUAUUAAAAAUAUAUGAAAUUAAAAUAUAGUUAUAUUACAUAUUAUAAUAUUUUGCAAUCUAAUAAAUAAAUUUUUAAAUUAAAUUCUCCAUAUUAAAUCAAAAUUUUAAAGCACUAAAUCAUUGCCCUAAAAUUGUCAAAAUACAUCCUUUUGAAUUUUAAAAUUUAUAAAUUCCGAAAGAGACUUUCAGCUUCUCAAAUUCUCUAUUUAAAUUUCACCUACAUAGUUUUUUUUGGCAAUUCUUCAAAAUUUCAUUUAUUUAAAUCAUGGUUCUAUUAUAAAAUAGAAAAUUUUAAACUAAAAAAAAUAUUAUUUUUAUUUAAAUCUAAUGUGCAUAUUUUUCUCUUUACAAAAAUAAAUUUUCAAAAUUCAGGUCUAACUAUUAAUACUAUUGAAAUUAUUUUAUUAAAUCCAUGUUCAUUACGUCAUCUUUUAGUUACAUUGCUACCAAGGUUUUUUUAUUUCAAAAUGUCAACACCAAUAAAUUAAUUUUAAAAAAUAACAAUGUUAACAAUUGAACUUGGAUUUUAAAUUUUAAAAAAUAGAGGGAAAUUGACGAAAAUAGAAAUACAAGAAUUAAAUUACAAAUUCGUAAAGAGUACGUAGACCUAUCACAUUUUUUAAACCAAAAGGUUAAUAACAUGUGCAUUUUGAAAUUUAUAAAAAGUUUGGAAAAAAAAUUUUAAGCACCUCAAAAUGUAUGUUUAAAUUUCAUAAAAUUGAAGUUUUUUUUUAAAUUAUUCAAAAUUGACAUUUAUUUAUUUUUGGCCAAAAAAUGCCAUUUAAUUAACUCUAACGUGUAUUUUUAUGUUUUAUGCCAUUUAUUUUACUCAAUUUCAAAAUUCAAGUCUAAUUAUUAAUACUGUUAAAAUUGUUUUAUUAAAUCCAUUUUCAUUAUGUCAUUUUUUAGUUACAUUGCUACCAAAGUUUUUUUUAUUUUAAAAUGUCACACCAACUAAUUAUUUUUAAAAAAAAUUAACAAUUUUAACUAUUGAACUUGGAUUUUAAUUUUUUUUAAUAUUUUAUUAUACCAUAUAAUAUAUUUGUUAUUAUCUCAAUCCUACUUAUGAAGUUUAGAAUUUCAUUAAUAGUACCACCCCAAUUUUUUAAAAAAAACCAGAUUUUUUUUAAAAAAAAUUUGAUAAAAGAAAAUAAUUUUACCAAAUAUUUUCCCUUAAACUUAAUUUACUUUGUACUCAAUUAUAAAUGUUAAGAAAUAUUUUACAAUCUAAUAAAUAAAUUUUUUAAUUAAAUUCUCCAUAUUAAAUCAAAAUUUUAAAGCACUAAAUCAUUGCCCUAAAAUUGUCAAAAUACAUCCUUUUGAAUUUUAAAAUUUAUAAAUUUCGAAAGAGACUUUCAGCUUCUCAAAUUCUCUAUUUAAAUUUCACCUACAUAGUUUUUUUUGGCAAUUCUUCAAAAUCUCAUUUAUUUAAAUCAUGGUUCUAUUAUAAAAUAGAAAAUUUUAAACUAAAAAAAUAUUAUUUUAAUUUAAAUCUAAUGUGCAUAUUUUUAAGUUAAUAACAUGUGCAUUUUGAAAUUUAUAAAAAGUUUGGAAAAAAAAUUUUAAGCACCUCAAAAUGUAUGUUUAAAUUUCAUAAAAUUGAAGUUUUUUUUUAAAUUAUUCAAAAUUGACAUUUAUUUAUUUUUGGCCAAAAAAUGCCAUUUAAUUAACUCUAACGUGUAUUUUUAUGUUUUAUGCCAUUUAUUUUACUCAAUUUCAAAAUUCAAGUCUAAUUAUUAAUACUGUUAAAAUUGUUUUAUUAAAUCCAUUUUCAUUAUGUCAUUUUUUAGUUACAUUGCUACCAAAGUUUUUUUUAUUUCAAAAUGUCACACCAACUAAUUAUUUUUAAAAAAAAUUAACAAUUUUAACUAUUGAACUUGGAUUUUAAUUUUUUUUUUUAAAAAUAGAGGGACUAAAUUCCUAAAAAUAAAAGUAUAAGAAUUAAAUUACAAAUUUAUAAAGAGUAUGUAGACAUAUGUUAAUAACAUGUGCAUUUUGAAAUUUAUAAAAAGUUUGCGAUGGAAGUUUAAGCACCUCUAAAUGUAUGUUUAAAUUUCAUAAAAUUGAAGAUUUUUUUAAAUUAUUCAAAAUUCAUAUUUAUUUAUUUUUGGCAAAAAAAAAUGUGAUUUAUGUAACUCUAAUAUGUAUUUUUAUGUUUUAUACUAUUAAAAAAAUAUGAAAUUAAAAUAUAGUUAUAUUACAUAUUUUCUCAUAAAUAUAUGUUUUUAUUUAUUUGUAAUAUCAUUGUUUUUAUUGUUAUAAUUAUUUUUUAUCUCAUAAAAAUUAAAUAAAUUAUUUUAAAAAAUAUAUUUUUACAAACAAAAUAAUUAUAAACAUUAAUAUUUUAAAAUUAAGAAAAUUUUAAAGAAUUUUAAUUUCAAACUAAAGUUGAAACACAUUAUAAUGGAGGAUUUAGAAAAUGUUUCACCAAACUCAUAUUUUACUUUCAAGUAUGAUAUGAUAUAACUUUAUUAAUAUUUAUGACAAUAACGGUCAUUAUAAUAUCUGAGAUCAAAACUAAAUUUCUAAAUUUAAAAAAAAAAGGAAGUUUAAUUAAAUGAUACCUUGGUGGAUCACCAAAUCUUUCAAUUCAUUAUAUCCCAUAUAUAGUUCCCUUAAGUUGAUGAAUGCUUCCAAAUCUAGGAAAAAAAAAGCAACAAAUCAACUUCAUUAUAUUCUCUUAAAACAUUAUUAUAUUCUUUGUUAAAAAACUAAUAUUUUUACCUUUCGUAUCUAUUGAUCCUUUCAAUUGAUUGUAAUUUAUGCUCAAAGAUUUCAAAUUUGAAAGCUUGUUAAGGGAUGCAAAUACACUAGUAUUGAAGAGAUUGUAAUCUAAAUAAAGCACUUCCAAGUGGGUCAACUCCAAUUUUCUACCACCAUCUACAAAAGAUUUAUAUAAUUUCAUCACUAAAAUGAAUUGGCAUAAAAUUUAAUUAUAUGUAAGAAUUUAGGUAAUUGGUUAAAUAUAAAUGCAUACCUUUAAAGGAUUGAAAGCUUUCAAUUUGAUUCCAACGUAAAUCGAGUUUCUUCAAAUUUGUUAAAUUGCUCAAUCCUAUACAUAUCCAUGUCCAAUUCAAAAAAUCAUUAUGUUAAUAAUUUUAAUUUCUACUUAAUAUUUUAAUGAAAUAAAAAAAAAGUAUAUCUAAAACUUGAAGUGAAGAUGAAAAACCUCAAACGUGAAAUCUGAAUGCUCAAAUUUGAAACAAUUAAUUUUAAAAUGUUCUAGAAAGAAUUAUCAAGAAAAACAAAGUUAUAGCUUUAGUACCUUUAGUAUCUAAUGAGCCUUGCAGACGGUUGUUGUACAAAGUCAAAGACUUUAGGCUUGAAAGCCCCUGAGGAAAGGAAAUUGUGUUGUUCCGAAAGAGAUUAUUACUUAAAUCAAGUUCCUCUAAGUUUGUUAGCCUCCAUUGUGUUCCAUCUAUCAUUGGAAGAAAAUAAUUAGUAUAGUUAAUAUCAUUCAAUAUAUAAAUAGCUAGGAAAAAUGAUUGUUUGAGAAGGAAGAGCCAAUUUACAAGCUUUCCCAUGAAUUGAUAACUACAUUUUACAAGUAAAACUUAAUUGAUUCAACAUAUAAAUACUUUGUUUGAGAUACCUUCCUACUUAAUUUACUCAAUUUUGAAAUAUUGCAACAUUAACUGUCCCUUAAACAAAAAUUGGUUUUAAAGUAAAAAAGAAACAUAUAAAACCAGUCUACCUUUAAUAUGAAUUGACAUAUAAAUACUGUACUUAUACCUUGGUUUGAGAUGCUUUCAAUGUUGUUGUCACUUAAAUCCAAGUAUUUCAAGUUUGUCAAAUUAUUCAACCCUAAAAUUCAAUCCCAAAUAUUGAUUAGUUAUAUAUUCAUCGUAUGAUGAAAUCAAACUUGAAUAUACAUUGAUUUUUAAAGUUGAAAAGAAACAGGUAAAAUCAGUCUACCUUGAAUAUGAUCCAGCCUUCCUUUCAACUGAUUACGUCUCAAUCUUAAAGUCUUCAAGGAUGAAAGAUUUCUCAUAUGGAACAAAAUGCUAUUCUUCAAAGAAUUCCAACUUAAAUCAAGAGUUUCCAAGUUAUUGAGUCUUGAAAGCAAUUGAAAACCUGAUAUAUAUACAUAAUUACUUGUUAAUUUUUUCUUUCUUUCUUAGCUAUAUGAAAAUUUUACUAAAGCAAAAGUAGAAUUACAACGGAUAAAAAGAAUGGAAAACUAGGUACCAAGCCUAGAAGACCAUCCUCAAACUCCACUAUACAAAUAAAAACUAACACUAGACCAAACUUAAUUUACCUCUUAGAUGACCUGAUCCUUCAAAUUUGUUGCUUGAUAAAUUUAAAUACCGGAGAGAUGAAAGCUCACUUAAAGAUAACAAAAUGCUGUCAUUCAAGUAGUUUUCACUUAAGUCAAGGAUCUCCAAAUUACUCAAUGUGGAUGAUAGUUUUCCAAAGCCUGUAGAAGUGUUCUUUUAAAUAUAUACAAGCAGUUAGUAACUUUUCUUCAAUAAAAUAUAAGUAAUUGUAAAUUAUCAAUGGUGAGAAUAGUGGAAUAGUAAAAGAUGUAAUUAAGGAAAAAUUAAAGGCACGACCUUCAUUUUCAAGGUUACCACCCAUGGCAUUUCCCGACAAAUAAAGUCUCUUCAAUUCCUCAAAGGGAAGAAACAUAGAGGCAUUGAGAUACCAGGCAUUGAGAUUCCUAUUAUCCAUGUCGUAUUCCAUAUUGUAUAACCAUAUUGUAGAAUUAAGGGAGAGUUGUAUGAGUCUCCUAGUGGUGGUGUUACACUCAACUCUUUCCCAUUUACAACAAUCUGAACCCUUCACCUCAACCCAACUUUGCAAUUGAUUACCAUAAUUGAAGAAAGGCUUGAGAUGCAAGAGAGCGAUUCUCUCAUGCUCCAAACAAGCAUCAGUAGUACACCAACUGCAUCUUUCUAACACCAACAACAUUACUGCCAUCCUAAUAAACCAUAAGUACCAUUUCCACUCCAUCAUCAUCAUCAUCUUUCUGUUUUCACUUCUCUCUCAGCUAUAUGUUACUUUUUUUUAACUUCUAUAUGUAUAUAAUCUAAAGAAGCCUAAGCUUCUUAUUUAUAUACAAGCAGAACAUACUGCAUCCCACUAAUUCACUAUAAUAUAAAAAUAAUAUAUAAUUAAUUAAUUCCUCAAAAAUUGGAUCAAUCUAGGCUUCUUAUUUACAUAAAUUCCUUAUUGCAAAAACUCUAGGUGGAAAUUCAUUAGGAAAUGAUGAAAGGACUGCAAGAAUGCUUAUCAACCCUUGACUUUGGCAUUCAAUGCUAAAUUUAUUUUAAAAUUUCUUCAUGGAGACAAGAUGGGAUGACAAGAAUGAUAAGUUUUAAGUCAUUUAAGUUUAUCACUCAUAAAAAUAAGUCUUAACAUUCUAUUAAAGAAUUUAAGCAUGGCUCAACGUUGAUUUUAAAUCUAAUGUUGAUGUUAAUCUUGAAAAACGAAUGGCCAAAAAAAUAUGAAAAGUGAGAGGUGGACAUUAAAUCAUGUAGUUGGAGUUAUAAAAUACUUCAUGUGGUUUUCUUGUGAGUUUCAUUUAUACCCUUCUUACACUUAUACAAAGUUAAUCUUGACUUGGCUUUAUUAACGGAAAAUUUAGGUCUUCAUUUUUUGUUUUAUUCAUGGAAAUUUUUAUUCAUGGAAAUUUUACUUCUUUGAUUUUGGUUUUAUUAAUGGAAAUUUUAGGUUUUGAAAGUUUUUUUUUUCCCGGAAGAUUUUGUAAGUUUAAACCAAAUAUGAUUAUAUAAUUUUUACUACUUUCUUUUUAAUAUUUUAAAAACCAAUUAAAUAUUUAAGCAUAUUUUUUUUAGAAAAAUAUUUAAACAUAAAAUAUAUGAAUUUAUUUUAUAAUACAUUUUUACUUUUUUUAAUAUUUAUAUAUAUAGAAGGAUGAAAUUGUAAUUUUAUAUAGUAGAGUGGGAUGGGAUGGAACAAGGAAUUACCGUAACGGCUCCAUAGUCAUUGUCCAAUGGAAAAAAAAAUCCACCCAUCCCACCUUGCUUCCACUUUUCUAAAAAAAAAUCCACUCCAUUCUAAGUAGAUCGUUUCAAAAUUCAUCGGACAGUUCAGGAUUUGCUACCUCUACAUAAACCUCUCCAAACCUUUAAAUUCAUUUAAUUCGAAAUUUGAAAAAGACAUCGAUUUUUUUUAUAUGACUUAAAAUUUUACUUGAAUAUUUUUACAAUUAAUUAAUUAAAUUGGGUUAUUUUAAAAAGCCGCUCUUAACUAAUAGUCGAAAAAAAUUAAAGUUUCCAAUGUAAAAAAAAUUAGUUUUAUGGAAAAAUAAAGUCUUGAAAUAUUACUUUAGGUUUGGAAAUGUUGAACUUGAUAUUAACAUCUGAAAAUUGAUAGCGAAUCGACUUAUAUGUACAAAACUUAUAUUAACUAGAUUUUUAGUGAGUAAUAUGUAAAAAUAACAAGUGGGCAUAACAUUAGACAUAUGAUAAUAUGUUUGUCACACCAAAUCUUGGAGAUAGUAGAACUUAAUGAAUUUACAAAAUAUCAUUUAGUGAGGAUUGAAAUUUUAAAAUUUCAAAAAGCAUAAGAUCUAAAAUAUCAAAUUAAAGUCUAGGAAUUAAAUCUACAACUUCAAUAAAGUACAAAAACUAUAUGGUAGAAUUUAACCUUUAUAUAAUAAUUUCGUUAUGUGAACCACAACUCAAGUACAUUCCAUAAAUAACAUUAAAAAAUUGGUAUGUGUCUUCUUCUUUUUUUAAUAUUCAUUUUUUAACAUUAUAUACUACACCUCUACAAGACAUGUCUCACUCAUCUGAUCCUUCUUAUAGAGUUUAAAAACUCCACCUACUGUGUACUAAAUAUUAAUUAGUCCAAUUACUAUACUAUUCAUGAUUUAAGGAUAAAGAUAAAAUAUAAUAUUUGCUUAAAAAUCUCAAUUAUAUACAUUUGGUGACCCAUUAUGUUGUAAUAUAGCACCAUCUACGAAGUAGUUCGAGGAAAUUGUUAAGAAAAUAUUAUUACAUAUAUCAACAAUCACAUAAUUCAUUGCAUUAACUUUCAAAUGUUGACUAUUGACUUCUGCGUCAACCUUGAUCUUAUAUAGGCCCCCUAAUAAUUUAGGUUGUGUAAAUAAUCUCACAUUUAAUGCCUGAGAAAUUAUUAUAGAUGAAAUUAUAGUUUUAAUCCCUAUAUUUACUCACAUAAAUAAUGUUCCUCGAUCAAAUUAAGUGCUCUCAAUGAUUAAUACAAGAGCCUAUACAAGUCUCUUAAUUAUAUAAAGAUUUUAAGAUUUGCUAACCUAAUGAAGAUCAUUCACAAUCCCUUCUAAAAGAUAGCUAAAAUAGUUGAAUACAAUAUAAUAAUAACAACUAAGGCAAUAUGAGCUGUUGGCAAAUAAGGUAUUAAUGUUUCGAUCUGAUCCAACUUCCUCAAUCUAAGGGAUUAGAUAGGCUUGAUCCGAUCCUAUUUAACUUGAUCCUUCAAAUAAGUUUCUCCAAGUACUAUGAUAUUCAUUGAUGGACUUGAUAUAACCCACGAUAUCAACUCAACCCAAAGAUAUGGUUCAAUAAAUUGCCAAACUCCUAAAUGUGGGAAGUUGUUUAAUGUGCCUAUGUGCCGCAAUGGUAAAGGAUGUGGGCACUUCCUCACACACAUCGCAACAACUCUAAAUUUUUCAACAGAAAUGAAUAUAAUUUUUAACAGAAUGAUCAAUUAAUUUUUUUUAUCAAACAUACAUGUAACGUCUUAAAAUUUUAAUUUUGGGUAUUGUGAAUGUGUGACACAAAAUAUCUGUUUACUUUAGUGGUUAUGUGCUUUAGGUGUGUUUGGGAGGUCCUAAGUUCUAGCCAGAACUUGGGCAAAAUUUGGUAUUUUUAUGAAUAGACCUAUCUUUGGUCAGUAGGCUUUUAAGUAAAAGUUAGCAAAUAAUUAACAGAAUGGGUCUGCUGAUCUGAUGGAUAAGUGGAGUGUUAGAGUGUUGGAGGUCUUGUGUUCAAAUCUUGGCGUGGACAUUAUUUUUGCUCGUGCGUCCAGGAGAGUUUGAGAUGGACUAAAAAUCUGAGUAGUGGAUUUAGUGGGGAGUUUGAUGGAGAAAAAUAAGGGAUUGGGGUGGUUAUCAAAUAUUUUGUUCAUUUUUUUCUCUCUUUCUUUUUUUUUUACUUUCCCCAAAAUCCGUCCACUCUCUUGCCGUUAUUCUCUUCAUUGCUGCAGAAUUUUUGCUUUCUUUCACCCUUUAUCUUCUUGAUUUUUCUUUUCCCACUCUGCCUCGUGUCACUCCAUGUUUAUUUGCGAUCGUUUUGUAAGUUUUAGAUAAGUGAUUUGUCUCUGUUUGUUAACUUUCUUCUGAAGUGUUUUGUUUAUGCCAAAUAAGGAAGGAUUCAAUGGCUCGUAAUCACCAAUUGGAGUCUUAGUUUUUGUGGGAAUUCUUGUUCAUCAGUUGAAGGUAAGAUUUAGUCGCUUAUGGGUUAAAAUCUUGAUACGAGUUCGAUUUAGGAUCACGUUAUAUGAGAUUAAAUUGAUGUUAUUUUUUUAAUUAUAGGAUUUGGAGUGCUCGGGGACUGUUUUAGCAUCAAACAAAACUAGGUGUGUACCCGUAAUGCAAAAAUAAGGGAUUCGGUAAAAUGCUAAAAUUGCCUACUGUUUGGACAAAAGCAGUAGGCUGAAUUUAAAAAAUCACCAUAAAUUGUGAAAAUCAAAUUUUAUGCAAUAUAACUCCACACAGAAAUGGAUUUCCCUCAUAACUAUUUUCAAUAAAGGUCCCAAAUUGAGCUUUUGGUUCGGGAAUACUACCUGACAAGUUGUUGUAUGCCACGCUGAAAACCUCCAAAGAGUUCAACUCUACCAAUUGAUUGGGGAUUUCACCACUCAAGUUGUUGUAAGAAAGGUCCAAACUCUCAAUUUGAUGAAGUUUUGAGAAUGACGAGGGUAUAACUCCGGUCAACUUAUUGUGUGAAAGGUUUAAAGAAUGGAUUUCACUCAAGUUCCCUAAUUCUGGUGGGAUAUGACCAGUUAAGUUGUUGCAAGAUAAAUCAAUCCCAGUCAUAUAUGAAAGGAUAUCGCCCUUGUACGAAUAGAACCCACUCUUUGUUGUGAAUUCUAUUACUUCUUCUAAGUAGCUUGUAGGAUAGUAGGGAUUUAUAUCCCUUACCAAUUUUCUCAUUGCAAUGGAUGUUGAUUCAUCCCUUUCUAUAAAUGGAAGGUAGAGCUUAGUUGUUAGACUCUCUUUCUCUUUCAAUGGAAGAGAUAAAUUUCCCAAACAAGAAGGUAUAGGACCAGAAAACAUAUUUUGAGAAAGAUCUAUGAUGCUUAAAGAGUGCAACUUGCAUAACUGAACUGGAACUUCACCGUGAAAAUGAUUAUCUUUCAGAAGAAGAACACUCAAAGAAGAAAGUGUGUCAAUCCAUUUUGGAAUAUUACCUGUCAAAUUGUUUCCCCUAAGAUCUAAAGUCACUAGAGAAAAGCUAUUAUAAAAAGCAAGUGAUAGUGGACCUCUAAGUCUAUUUCCGUGGAGGUGGACAUGCUCUAUGUUUGGUGGAUUAAAACAUGACGGUAUAGAUCCAGAUAAAUGAUUUUGGGAAAGAUCCAAAAAGUCCAAGCUAUUCAACUUGCAAAAUUCCAUUGGAAUAAAACCCUCGAAACCAUUGUUGGACAAAACUAAUCUCUCCAAAAACGAUGCAUUCCCUAUCCAUCUUGGGAGCUUUCCAUGCAACUUGAUUAGGUAAGGGACCAAUAAGUCCACAAUCAUAUAAAGGCAGGGUUUUAAGAGAACUGAAUACUCCAAUGCAUUGUAAAAUGUUGGUGUUGAGAGUAGAAUAGUCAAGAUAUAUUUCCUCCACAUUGCUUGACACAUUUAAUUCUAAAGGAUGAGAAGAGGUAUUAGAUGUUAAUCGAACGUAAUCUGUUUUGGAAAAGAAAAUAAUGACUUUCACUUACCUUGAGUAGCCAGAGUCAUGUUCAGAUAACUGCCUUAUAGAUAAAAGGUUUUAACUGAUGAGAAAGCCUCCACUAACUUUUGUAAUGGAAUGCUUCCAUCGGUGAAAACUUGAUCAAGAUCAACAACUUUCAAAUUUCUGUAAGUGGAAGAAAUAAAUAAAUAUUUGUUUUCAUCAAUAAGAUAAAAGUUUAAUAGAGAAUGUACAAAUCUUAACAUAACUAUUCAUUCAUUUUAUUAAUUAAUAAACUAAUCCUUUUUUAGCAUUCUAAGAUAAAAUAAAAUUUCAAAAUAAUUUGAUCUUGAUUCAUAUCAGAUUUAAAUAUAUGAGCAUAUUCUUUUAAAAACUCAAAUAUGUUUGAAAUCAAUUUAGCAUUUAACCUUAAUGUUAGUUUUUGGUACUGGAAAUGAAGUUUUUUAACUCUACAAGUGAAGUUAAAAAAUGGCCAGUAACCUAUUUAUUUUUUAAUAUUUUACUAUACCAUAUAAGAUAUUUGUUAUUAUCUCAAUCCUACUUAUGAAGUUUAGAAUUUCAUUAGCCCUUAAACUAAAUUUACUUUGUACUCAAUUACAAAUGUUAAGAAAUAUUUUACAAUCUAAUAAAUAAAUUUUUUAAUUAAAUUCACCAUAUUAAAUAAAAAUUUUAAAGCACCUAAAAUUGUCAAAUACAUUCUUUUGAAUUUUAGAAUUUAUGAAUUCCGAAACAGACUUUCAGCAUCUCAAAUUCUCUAUUUAAAUUUCACCUACAUAGUUUUUCUAGAAAUUCUUCAAAACUUCAUUUAUUUAAAUCAAUGGUUCUAUUAUAAAAUAGAGAAUUUAAAACUAAAAAGAUAUUAUUUUUAUUUAAAUCUAAUAUGCAUAUUUUUCUCUUUACAAAAAAUAAAUUUUCAAAAUCCAGGUCUACUAUUAAUACUGUUGAAAUUAUUUUAUUAAAUCCAUAUUCAUUUCAUCAUCUUUUAAUUACAUUGUUAUCAAGUUCUUUUAUUUUAAAAAAAUAUCACACUUUUUAGUUGUUUACAGAAUCAUAAUGUUAAUUAGAGUGGAAUAUUUCAGAUUUCUGAUGAUGAGCAUAUUCUUGAGUAUUGCAGUAAAAAAAUGGGUGUGGAACUUAUUUGAACUUUGAAUAUAAACGAACGUGUCAAAAAUUUAAGUACAACGAAUUAUUAACAUGUAAAUGUAUAAUACGGUAUGCAAAAAUAAGAUAAUUGCUUGUUUUUUUAAUUGAAUUGUUAUAACACAUUAUACACAAUACAUUGUGAAUUAAAGCAUAACAUAAAGAAUUGCAUUGUUUGUGAGGUUUUAAAAUAUUCUAGUUUUAGAUUCAAUUUUCUAGUAUGUUUGGUUUAAUUUUACAUUAGAUUUCCUUUUCAGUAUGCACUAGUGAAUACUUGGCAGUCAAUUUAAUUUAAUUUAAAGAGAUAUUGCAUAUACAUAGAAGAAAAAAGAAAUAGAUGGUUGAAAAUGAUUAAACCAUAAGAUAAAAGAGCUUUUAUUCAAAAUGCAAAAAUCAACAAAAUAUUAAUUAUCGCUCAACUUAGCAUAAUUAAACAUUUAGGUGUGAAAAUCAAAUCACAAUUUGAGUAGCUAAACAUAUCGCUUGAAAAUGUGAUAAGUAAGAAACUUGCCCACAUUUGAGUAGCGACAGGUGGUGAUGCAUUUCCCAACGAGAGAAAACCAAGCUCUUUGCCAGUAUGGAUUUAUGUAGAGGACAACAAAAAUUGUCAACAACACAACUACAUAAGAAACCAAAAAGCUCACACAAAAAUCACCUAUCAAACCAUCUUCUCCUUUAUCUUCUGAUACAGUUAAUAUCGUUGAUGGCGAAUCGAUUUUGGAACAACUUUUAUGCAAUAUAGCUCCACAAAGAAAAGGAUUUCCCUCAUAACUGUUUUCAAUAAAGGUCCCAAAUUGAGCUUUUUCGGGAAUACUACCUGACAAGUUGUUGUAUGCCACGCUGAAAACCUCCAAAGAGUUCAACUCUACCAACUGAUUGGGGAUUUCACCACUCAAAUUGUUGUAAGAAAGGUCCAAACUCUCAAUUUGAUGUAGUUUUGCGAAUGACGAGGGUAUAACUCCUGUCAACUUAUUGUGCGACAAGUUUAAAGAAUGGAUUUCACUUAAGUUCCCUAAUUCUGGUGGGAUAUGACCAGUUAAGUUGUUGCAAGAUAAAUCAAUCCCGGUCAUAUAUGAAAGGAUGUUGCCCUCGUACAAAAAGAUCCCACUCUUUGUUGUGAACUCUAUUACUUCUUCUAAGUAGCUGUCAGGAUAGGAAGAAUCUAUUCCCAAAUUUAGUAUCAUACUGCGUGUUGUUUCAUCCUCUUCUAUAGGCCCAUAGAACUCAGUGUCUAGAAUCUUCUUCGUUUGCAUUAGAAGAGAUAAAUUUCCCAAGCAAGAAGGUAUAGGACCAGAAAACAUAUUUUGAGAAAGAUCUAUGAUGCUUAAAGAAUGCAACUUGCAUAACUCAACAGGAACUUUACCAUGAAAAUGAUUAUCUUUCAAGAGAAGAACACUCAAAGAAGAAAGCGUGUAAAUCCAUUUUGGAAUACUACCUGUCAAAUUGUUUCCUCUAAGAUCUAAACUCACUAUUGAAGAGCUAUUAUAAAAAGCAAGCGACAGUGGGCCUCUCAGUCUAUUCCCGUGGAUGUGGACAUGCUCUAUGUAUGGUGGAUUAAAACAUGACGGUAUAGAGCCAGAUAAAUUAUUCUGAGAAAGAUCCAAAAAUUCCAACCUAUUCAACUUGCAAAAUUCCAUUGGAAUAGAACCUUCAAAACCAUUAUUAGACAAAUCUAAUCUCCACAAAAAUGAUGCAUUCCCUAUCCAUCUUGGGAGCUUUCCAUGCAACUUGUUGUUACUGAGAUCAAUUUGGCUUAGUGAAUAUGGAAACUCAAAAGUAGAGGCAUUAACAUUUGUCAUCUCUCCUGAAAAAUUAUUUCCAUCCAAAUAUAAAUUCUCCACCCCAUUCGCGCUGAGAAUCACAGGAACUACAUUUCCACUGAAGUUGUUAUUUGAUAGUUUCAAAAUGAUCAGUGAGCCUUUCGUGAUCAACUCUUCUGGUACUUUUCCAUACAAUUGAUUGUUUGAUAGAUCUAAAAAUGAUAAGUACUUCAUGCCACUUAAACAAAGUGGGAUAUUACCUUCAAAAGCAUUCUUGGAUAAGAGUAACCGCCUCAAAUGUGGAAAAGUUGAACAUAUACCAGUCGGAAUUUGACCUUGUAAUUUGUUUUCAGAUAUGUCAAUUGAAGAUACAUUAGAAAUAAGAGCUGACGAACGUGAGAGAGGACCUGUAAAUGAAUUACCCUUCAAGAUGAGUUCUUCUAACUUUGUGUUGUUUUCUAGCAACCAAGUUGGUAAAGUUCCACUGAGAUUGUUAUGAGAAAGAUCCACAUAUCUCAAGUCAUAUUGGUAGUAAAGGAAGGUAGGAACUUUUCGACUGAGUUGUUGAGAUGUUAUGCACUUUGACAAACUGAUGACUUCCAAUUGGAACUUUGGGAUUGAGGUAUAAAAGGAAGGUUCCAAUACCAUUUUGUUUUCAUUACUGGAGAGGGCUUUGAGGUUUGAAAGGUUUGCAAAUGGUGCAAAUGACAGUGGAAUUUGAAAAUGGUUUCUUGAAAUAUCUAACACACGAAGAGAUGUCAAGUUACUAAAACAAUGAGGAAGCAUCCCCUCAAGUGCAUUCUCACUCACUUCCAACACUUCAAGGUUCCUUAGAUCACACCAUCCUGAAAAUUUUAUAAAUUCAUGGAAGAAGUUUCAAUUAAAUCUUGUUUUAUAAAACAGAAUAGGAUAUAAUAUAUUACAGAAAGCACAUACAGCAAUCAAUUUGAGCCAUAAAAUUAUUUACCUUGAUUAGGUAAGGGACCAAUAAGUCCACAAUCAGAUAAAGACAAUGUUUUAAGAGAAGCAAAUACUCCAAUGCUUUGCAAAAUGUUGGUGUUGAGAGUAGAAUUGUCAAGAUAUAUUUCCUCCAAAUUGCUCAACACAUUUGAAUCUAAGCAAUGUCAAGAGGUAUUAGAUAACGGUAUUAUAGAAAGCCUCUACUAAGUGAAAUGCUUUAUUUUCUGUGAAUGAAAUGAAAUAUAUAAAUUUUUUUUAUGAGUGUUAGACUAUUCAUGAUUAUCUGAGAUAAAUUUUGAUGGAGAGAAGAUGUUGAAACUUUAAUAUAACUCUUCAUCCAUUUUAUUAAUUAUACUAUUUUUUUUCUUUUUAGUAUUUUCUUAUAUUAUUUUUUAAUAUAAGUAAUUAACUGAUAUGGCUAAUUUGUAUAAUUUUCAAACUCCAAUCAACAACACUAUAAAUAAUAUUUAUAAAAUAAAACAUUUCUACACUAAAAUUAUUAUAUUACCUUUAAAGUUACCAAUACUUUAAAAAAAAAUAAAAAUAGGUAUUUUACUCACCAAUAAAUAAAAUUCAAAAAUAUAUUUAUAUAUGAAAUUAAAAAAUUUAUAUGUAUUUUUACUUUAAAAAAAUAAAAACAGGUAUUUUACCAAUACUCUAAUAUGUAUUUUUAUGUUUUAUACUAUUAAAAAUAUAUGAAAUUAAAAUAUAGUUAUAUUACAUAUUUUCUCAUAAAUAUAUGUUUUUAUUUAUUUAUAAUAUCAUUUUUUUAUUGUUAUAAUCAUUUUUUAUCUCAUAAAAAUUCAAUAAAUUAUUUUAAAAAAUAUAUUUAUACAAACAAAAUAAUUAUAAACAUUAAUAUUUAAAAAUUAUGAAAAAUUUAAAGAAUUUUAGUUUCAAACCAAAGUCGAAACACAUUAUAAUGGAGGGUUUAGAAAAUGUUUCACCAAACCCAUAUUUUACUUUCAAGUAUGAUAUGAUAUAACUUUAUUAAUAUUUAUGACAAUAACUGUUAUUAUAAUAUCUGAGAUCAAAACUAAAUUUCUAAAUUAAAAAAGAAAAGGAAAUUUAAUUAAAUGAUACCUUGGUGGAUCACAAAAUCUCUCAAUUCAUUAUAGCUCAUAUCUAGUUCCCUUAAUUUGAUAAAUGCUUCCAAAUCUAGGAAAACAAAAACAACAAAUUAAUCAACUCCAUUAUAUUCUCUUAAAACAUUAUUAUAUUCUUGUUAAAAAACUAAUAUUUUUACCUUUCAUAUCUAUUGAUCCUUUCAAUUGAUUGACCCUUAUGCUCAACGAUUUCAAAUUUGAAAGCUUGUUAAGGGAUGCAAAUGCACUAGUAUUGAAGAGAUUUCCAUCUAAAUUAAGCUCUUCCAAGUGGGUCAACUCCAAUUUUCUACCACCAUCUACAAAAGAUUUAUAUAAUUUCAUCACUGAAAUGAAUUGGCAUAAAAUUUAAUUAUAUGUAAGAAUUUAGGUAAUUGGUUAAAUAUAAAUGCAUACCUUUAAAGGAUUGAAAGCUUUCAAUUUGAUUCCCACUUAAAUCGAGUUUCUUCAAAUUUGUUAAAUUGCUCAAUCCUAUACAUAUCCACGUCCAAUUUAAAAAAUCAUUAUGUUAAUAAUUUUAAUUUCUACUUAAUAUUUUAAUGAAAUAAAAAUGAAAAAGAAAGUAAAUCUAAAACUUGAAGUGAAGAUGAAAAUCCUCAAACGUGAAAUGUGAAUGUUCAAAAUUAAAACAAUUGAUUUUAAAAGGUUCUAGAAAGAAUUAUCAAGAAAAACAAAGUUAUAGCUUUAGUACCUUUAGUAUCUAAUGAGCCUUGCAAACUGUUCGACCUCAUAUUCAAGGACUUUAGGCUUGAAAGCCCUUGAAGAAAGGAAAUUGUGUUGUUCCGAAAGAGAUUACCACUCAAAUCAAGUUCCUCUAAGUUUGUUAGCCUCAAUUGUGUUCCAUCUAUCAUUGGAAGAAAAUAAUAUCAUUCAAGAUAAAAAUAGUUAGGAAAAAUGAUUGUUUGAGAAGGAAGAGGCAAUUUACAAGCUUUCCCAUGAAUUGAUAACUACAUUUUACAAGUAAAACUUAAUUGAUUCAAUAUAUAAAUACUUUGUUUGAGAUACCUUCCUAUUUUGAAAUACUGCAACAUUAACUGUCCCUUAAACAAAAAUUGGUUUUAAAGUGAAAAAGAAACAUAUAAAAGCAGUCCACCUUUAAUAUGAAUUGACAUAUAAAUACUGUACUUAUACCUUGGUUUGAGAUGCUUUCAAAUUUCAAUUCUGUUCCAACUUAAAUCCAAGUAUUUCAAGUUUGUCAAAUUAUUCAAUCAUAAAAUUCAAUCCCAAAUAUUGAUUAGUUAUAUAUUCAUCGUAUGAUGAAAUCAAACUUGAAUAUACAUUGAUUUUUAAAGUUGAAAAGAAACAGGUAAAAUCAGUCUACCUUGAAUAUGAUCCAUCCUUCCUUUCAACUCAUUACCACUCAAUCUUAAAGUCUUCAAGGAUGAAAGAUUUCUCAUAUGGAACAAAAUGCUAUUCUUCAAAGAAUUCCAACUUAAAUCAAGAGUUUCCAAGUUAUUGAGUCUUGAAAGCAAUUGAAAACCUGAUAUAUAUACAUAAUUACUUGUUAAUUGUUUUUUUCUUUCUUUGCUAUAUGAAAAUUUUACUAAAGCAAUAGUGGAAUUACAACGGAUAAAAAGAAUGGAAAACUAGGUACCAAACCCAGAAGACCAUCCUCAAACUCCACUAUACAAAUAAAAACUAACACCAGACCAAACUUAAUUUACCUCUUAGAUGACUUGAUCCUUCUAAUUUGUUGUGUGAUAGAUCUAAAUACCGGAGAGAUGAAAGCUCACUCAAAGAUAACAAAAUGCUGUCAUUCAAGUAGUUUUCACUUAAGUCAAGGAUCUCCAAAUUACUCAACGUGGAUGAUAGUUUUCCAAAGCCUAUAGAAAUAUUCUUUUAAAUAUAUACAAGUUAGUGACUUUUCUUCCAUAAAAUAAAAUAAAAUAUAAGUAAUUGCAAAUUAACGAUGGUGAGAGUAGUGGAAUAAUAAAAGAUGUAAUUAAGGAAAAACUAGAGGCACGACCUUCAUUUUCAAGAUUACCACUUAUGGCAUUCCCCGACAAAUAAAGACUCUUCAAUUCCUCAAAGGGAAGAAACAUAGAGGCAUUGAGAUACCAGGCAUUGAGAUUCCUAUUAUCCAUGUCGUAUUCCCAUUUUGUAGAAUUAAGGGAGAGUUGUAUGAGUCUCCUAGUGGUGGUGUUACACUCAACUCUUUCCCAUUUACAACAAUCUGAACCCUUCACCUCAACCCAACUAUUCAAUUGAUUACCAUCAUUGAAGAAAGGUUUGAGAUGCAAGAGAGCGAUUCUCUCAUGCUCCAAACAAGCAUCAGUAGUACACCAUCUGCAUCCUUCUAACACCAACAACAUUACUGCCAUCCUAAUAAACCUUAACCAUUUCCACUUCAUCAUCAUCAUCAUCUCUCUGUUUUCACUUCUCUCUCAGCUAUAUGUUACUUUUUUUUAACUUCUAUAUGUAUAUAAUCUAAAGAAGCCUAAGCUUCUUAUUUAUAUACAAGCAGAUGCAUCCCACUAACUCACUAUAAUGUAAAAAUAAUAUAUAAUUAAUUAAUUCCUCAAAAAUUGGAUCAAAAUCUAGGCUUCUUAUUUACGUAAAUUAUUUAUUGCAAAAACUCUUAGUGGAAAUUCGUUAGGAAGGGAUGAAGGGGCCACAAGAAUAUUGAUGUUAAUCUUGAAAAACGAAUGGCCAAAAAAAUAUGAAAAGUGAGAGGUGGACAUAAAAUCGUAUAGUUGGGAUUGCAAAAGUCUUCAUGUGGCUUUCUUGUGAGUUUCAUUUAUACCCUUCUUACACUUAUACAAACUUAGUCUUGACUUGGCUUUAUUAAUGGAAAAUUUAGGUCUUCAUUUUUGGUUUUAUUCAUAGAAAUUUUACUUCUUUGAUUUUGGUUUUAUUAAUGGAAAUUUUAAGUCUUCAGUUUGCUUUUAUUCUUGCACAUUUUAGGUUUUGAUUUUGAAAAUUUAGUUUUUUCAUCUCUAUUAUUAUAAAAUUUCUUAAUUUAAUUAAUAUCAUGAGUUAAUUUAAUACUUUAAAAAAUAAAAUAUUACAUUCACUAUUUUUUAAAAAAUAAAAGUAACUAUAAAAUUUUAUUAUUUAUAUAAUAUUUAAAAAAAAACUAUUUAUUUCUACUAGACCACUACUUUAAAACUAUCCAUUAUCAUAUUGUAAUAGGCCCAAUUUGCCCGGGCCCGGUAAAUAAAUAAAACCAAUAAAAUCAAAUAAAAAAUAGUCCCAAAACAGUCCAUUUACAAUGACCCAAUACCAACCCAAUGGCCUAAAUCUCUACCCAAGCCCGAAUCUAAACCUAAACAGGCCCAAAACCCACUAAACCUAAUGGCCCAAUACCCAGCUUGGCUGAGACAAACCCUAGCCUUCAGCAGCUUUCUGCUCUUGCGCUGCAGCCAAGCCGCUCCUCACGUACGAGCCUCAUUCAUGCGCCGCACCGAGCAACGCCAUCGCCAGGGACCACGCCUGUACUGUGCCACGCGAGCCUCCGUACAUGCGCGCCCGUUCACCUCUGUACCAGUACCUGCAAAUACACACAAGAAGCAGCGAAGCAACAAAAAAAAAGAGAAAAUAGCAGUAGAAAAAUAGGGGAUUUUCAGUUUUUAUUUGAUUUUUCUGGCUAUAAAAGCCAAACACGCAGAUUGUAUCAUAGGGGGAACUCACGCAUAUUGCAAAAAAACAAGGGGCAGAAAAUCAAUACAAAAAAAAAAAGAAAAGGUUUUCUCUUCCUUCAGGUCUCUUUUCUUCUCCAAUUGUUUCUUUUCUUUUUCGAUUGUUAUUAGCCUCAUAUAAGUAUAGAUAUAUAUAGAGUAAAUAAUAACAAAAAGGGGGGGUUAAAACGUACCUGGUGAUGCCUUUGAAUCCACGCGAAGAAGCCAAAAAGCCUUGAAUGGUGAGGCUCCGACCACCAUUCGCAGUGGAAUCAAGGCGGAGGGGCGGACUGACGGCACUGAAGACUAGGGUGAAACCCUAGCAGAGGAAACAAUAAGCAAUUUUUUUUAAAAACGAGUCUGCUAAUGUUUUUUUUAGGGUAAAUUUUGUUUAAAUAAUGAUACAAUACGGAGCCGUUUUGGGCUAGGGUUCCUAGCGUCCAAACGACGUCGUUUAGAGGCCUUACCCAAUGACCCGAUCCAGAUGGCGGCUAGAUCCGCGUGUUUGGUAGGGGGAGGGGAAAUUUCGCGAAGAGUCCCUCUUGUUUUGUGCCGUUUCGGUUUGAUUUUCUUCAUUGUUUUUAAUUUGAAUCGCGUAUUUUAUUUUGUUUUCAAUUUGAUCCACAGUUAAACGGCGCCGUUUUCACUAAUCGGAUUUGAGCAUCCGAACAUUUGUGUUUAUUUUCUGUUUUAGUCCUCUCUGUUAUUUUUUAUUAUGAUUUUUACCCUCCUAUUUUAUUUUCACCCUAAUUUAGUCCCGAAACUGUUAGAUUUCACUUUAUUUAUGCAAUGUAUAUAUUUAUUUAUUUUAAACUUUAUAUUAUUUAUUUUAAAUCGUUCUAUUACUAUUUAUUUUAAGCCUUUUUUACAUAUUAUAUGUUUUAAAUUAUGUUAAUCAAUUAUUCAUUUUAAAUAUAUAUUAUUUAUGUUAAACUACAAAUGUAUAUUAUUUAUUUGGAAUUGUUCUUAUGCACAUCAUGCAUUAUCAUUUUUAAAAAAAUAAUAAUAAUAGAAUUUGUUUGCAUAUUGUUCAUUUAGGAUUCCUUCUCACACAUUACUUAUUUUAAACGUUUUACAUAUUAUUUUAAAUUGUUUUAUAUGUUUUUUUUUAAAUGCUUUGAAGAUUAUUCAUUUUAACUUGUUUUACACAUUAUUUUAAUAUGUAUGGAAUUGCUUUAAUAUAUAUAUACGUGAAUAAAACGUAUUGUAACUGGUAAUUUCUAAAAUUUUAUUCUACGUUUUAAAAUUUUUAUCAUUUCGAUUAUGUUGAUUGGUUUACUUGGGAUUAAAUUAUUAUUGCAUUGAUUAUUCUUUUUUUUGAUUUUUUUGUUAGAUUGAUUAUUAGUUUAUUUGAUUAUCAAUGUUGAUGUAUUAUAUGUUUGGUUGCUCCAAAUUGUAAAUUUAGCUUGCUAUUCACCAUUUGAUUAGUAUAUUGAUAUUUUAUUAUAUUGUUUGUAAAAAUUGCAUUUCAUUAAAGCAUUACAAUUGUUUUAUUUCAAAAUUCUCAAAAAGCUUGGUAUUUAAAAAUUCUCGAGAGGAUUGUGCCCUAACUUACUGGGCUUACCUUUUUUAAUUUGAACAUAGAAGUUUCAAAAUAAAAGCUCAUUCUCGGGAAUUUGACACGUUGUGUCCUAACGCAUUGAAUAUGACUAUUAUUUUCUCGAGAUGAGGAUUUUAAGGCAAUGUUCGAUAUUUAGGAAUUUUGUGAAAUCGAACCCUAACUUACUGGGUUUUGAUUUUCUCAUUUGACCCAGAUAAUCGGACAUCCUCCUCAAAAUGCAUAGGUUUUAAAAGACGAGAGAUAAACUUAACUUGGAGGACUUAAAAUGUUGCACUCUAACUUACUAAGGGUGACGAUUUAUUUCUUUGAAAUAAGUGAGUCUCGUCGUCCAAUUCAUUUUAUUCAAAAUAAAAGGAUCAAAUUUUAAAAUCUUUUCAAAAUUUUGACAUUAAGACAUUAAACAUUCCAAUCGGUACCAAUUUUGGGCGUCACGAGGGUGCUAACCCUUCCUCGUGCGUAACCAACUCCCGAACCCGUUUUCUCAAAAAUUCGCAGACCUAAAAUUAUUUUCAAGGUGAUCCGCACACCACAAUAAAAGAUCGGUGGCGACUCCAUUUCCAUUUUCAAAAUUGAUCCCCAUUUUUCAAAUUACAAAAAAAUGGCUUCGACACAUAUAACUUCUCUUUAAUAAUUCACUAUUCUUUGAACAUUCAUUAGUUUUUGAAACAUAAAAUUUAUAAAUAAUUAUUUUUAGAGUAAACUACACCCAUGGUCACUUUUGUUUACCUUAGGUUACAUUUCAGUCACUUAUGUUUGAAAUGUUACGUUUUAGUCACUUAAGUUAUUGUGUUGUAACAUUUUAGUCACUGAGCCGUUAGUUGUCGUUAAUGGCUGACGUGGCACGUUAAAUUAUCAUUUCAAACAAAAACUUUAGGUUAAAUUAUACAAUUGGUUUCCAUAAUUUUUCGUUUUGAGCAAUUUAAUUCUUUUAUGCUCUUUAACUUUCUUUCUUUUUUUUCUUUAUUUUCCAUUCUCUUCUGCUUCUCCCUGUUUUCCUACAUUCUUUAUUUCUUUUAACAUAUCAGGAAGUCGAAUUGGUAGUGAAGAAAGAAGCAUGGUAUGGGUUUAUGGGCUUUGGUUAUGGGCAAAUGAUGACAGUCGACUUCCUACUUCUUUUUUCACUGUCAAUUCGACUUCCUAAUAUGUUAAAAGAAAUGGGAAAAGUAUGAAAACAGAGAGAGAAACAAAAAAGAAUGGAAAAAAAGAGGAAAGUUUAAAGAACAUAAAAGAAAAAAAAUUAAAUUACUUAAAACGAAAAAAAUAUGGGGAUCAAUUGUAUAAUUUAACCUAAAAUUUUGUUUGAAAUGAUGAUUUAACGUGCCACGUCAGCUUACCGUUACACCAUUAACGACGAUUAAUCGCUCAGUGACUAAAAUUUUACAACAUGAUAACAUAAAUGACUAAAACGUAACAUUUUAAACAUAAGUGACUAAAACGUAACCUAAGGUAAAUAAAAGUGACCAUGGGUGUAGUUUACCCUUAUUUUUAAUAUGACUUGAUUUUUACUUGAAUCAUUUUUGUAAUUAGUUAAUUAAAUUGGGUUAUUUUAAAAAAAUCCUCUUAACUAAUAGCCAAAAAAAAAAAAGCCAUCAUGUAGAAAAUUCUGGUUUGUUGGAAAAAUAAAGACUUGACCUAUUACUUUAGAUUUUGAAAUGUUCAACUUGAUAUUGACAUAUGAUAAUAUGUACAAAUUUCUCAUUCUUUUAAAUUUCAGUGAUAUUACAUGUAUGAUAAUAUGUUUGCCACACCAAAUUUGAAAAUAGUAGAACUUAAUGAAUUUAACAGAUAUCUAAAAUAUCAAAUUAAAGUCUAGGAAUUAAAGCUACAACAUCAGUAAAGUACAAGAACUAUGGUAGAAUUAAACCUUUAUAUAAUAAUUUCCUUCUAUGAACCACAAUUCAAGUGCACCCGACAAGCUAAUUAAUAAAAAUUUAGUGGUAGAAUAUGUAUAUUCUUGUGGGUGGAAAUUUAGUGGAGAUGCCCAUCAUCUUUCCUAAUUAAUAAAAAUGAAGACUUAGAAAAUGUGCAAUCAUAAUCCUAGUUGUCGUUAUGGCCCCAAGAAUAGGUAUAUUAAUUUGUCUCUCUUCAGGAUCAAAGAUAAAUAAUAAAUUUUAUAAAGUUAAAACCAUAAUUCUAUAAUUAUAUUAAUGUAUAAUUUCAUAAAAUUUUAAAAAAUGUAUCUUUCAACUUUUUUAAGUAAAUUGAUAAUUCGUUAACUCAUAAUAUUUUUUUUUUCAAAAUAUUUAUGAGAACGAGUUCGUAUUCUAUUGUGUGGAAAAUUUUAGUACAGAUAUUGGUGAAGCCAAAUCCAACUUGUUUGACCAAGAAAGUCUCUGUCGUGUGGAAAAUUUUAGUUUUGUGGAAAAUGGACAUUACCAUUUCCUUGAAUGACCAUCAAUUUCUCCAUUGAGAUAUAGUAAGAGGGAGUGAAAUAUAUAUAAGGUAAUAUUUAAUGUAUUCACACCAAAUUUCAUUAAUGAGUAAAACAAAUAAUGAAUAAUAAUGAAAAUUGGAGGAAAUUGUUAAGAAAAUAUCAUUACAUAUAUCAACACUCACAUAAUUCAUUGUAUUAACUUUCAAAUGUUGACUAUUGACUUCUACAUCAACCUUGAGCUUAUAUAGGCCCCCCUCACGGAAAUAAUCUCACAUUUAAUGCCUAGAGGUGCUUAUGGGCCGGGCCGGGCCCAGAAAAAAUUUUAGCCCGGGCCCGGCUCGGCCCGAAAUAUGGGCCUGAAAUUUUGCCCAAGCCCGGCCCGGUAAAAAAUUCAUAAGCCCGAGCCCGGCCAUUUUUUAAAUAAAUACCAAAAAUUUAUUUUAAAAUUAAAAAAAUUUAAAAAAAGUAUUUUAAAAAUAUUUUAAAUAAAUACCAAAAAUUCACCCUGCAUCUAAAAGGAGGUCCAGCACUCGAAUCCCAUUCCCCAUAACUAAAAACCAUGUCACUGUGACUUGGUCAUAUCUCCGUUCAAAGUCGGACAUGGGUAGUUAAAGAAAAAUGAAGAGUCGAUGCAUGAUAGACUAAGGACUAGCUCAAAAGUGCUUUUAGAAAAAAUUGCUCUUGAAAAGAGGUGUGGAAAAGUGUGCUUGUUAGUUUUUAGUGUUGUUCAUUGCUGCCAAAAAUCGCAAUUGAAAGUUAAAAUGUUCUUUUUAGACAUGAUAGUAGAAAGUAAAAAAUUAGUCAAGUCAUAUGAUUUUUAAAUAAUUUAAUAUAAUGAUACAUGAAAUAUAACUUUUAAAUACCUUUUAAGUAAUUAAUAUAAAUUAGUUGUAAAAUUGAUAAUAUAUAAAAUAUUUUGAAAAAAAUAAAUAUAAUAAUAAAUAAGAUUUAAACAAUUUAAUAUAAUAAUAUAUAAAAUAUAAAUUAAUCUAAUUUUUAUAUACCUUUUAAAUAGUUAAUGAAAAUAAUAGUAUUUUGAUAAUUUUCCCUUUGAAAUGCAAAAGCCAAAAACAGUUUUUGACUACAAAAGCUAUGUGUUGUUCAUCACUUCUGCAGUGGAAAAACACUUCUCCAUGGUGUAAAAACACUUUUACCCAAAAAGGCUUUUUCACCACAGUAGAGAAUGCACCCUAAAAUUGUAAAUAGAAAAAGGAAGAACCAAACAUUGUUUCUACCCUGUUUUUGUCUCCUCUUUGAAAAUACUUUCCAAAAGUUUUAUCAUUUUUUUUUCUGUUUACGAUGCCUUAAAUGCAAAUUCCUUAUAGAAGUGCUUUCUUUUGAUCCACUUGCAUCAUUGUAAUAAGUUUGCAUUGCCUUCUUUCUAUGUUGAUUAUCGUUUAUUAAGUUUUCUGUUGGAUCUUAUAGUCAAAUUCCUUUACAUCAUGUAUGUUAAUUUGCUUAGCCCUGAUAAAUGUUAGAUAUAGGGUUAUCAGCUAAUUAGGAAAGACUGUAAUGAUAGUCACACCUUACAUCCAAAUUUUUACAUUGAGGUUCCUUAUUAUUUUUUCUUGUUUCACCAAUUGCAUCCUAUUUACAGUUCCUUAGCGUUAUCCACUGUGCUAGGGUGGUUCUUGUUCAUAUAUUAAUCACCAUGCGCCUUCAGCAAAUGCAAAGCCAGCCAGCAUCUUCUGAUUUGUCAUUGGAUACUACACUUUCAGCAAAUGUAAAGCCGCCAGAUUUUCAGCUGUUUUUAGAAGGUCAAGACACAACAAGAGCAACAUAUGUUGUAUUCUUGUCAAACAAGAUAAGUUUUCGCAUAUUAACGAUUCUUUUUCCAAGAUGAAUUAUUCUCCUGUUGCAUUUUUAUUUGGGUUCAAAUGUUCUGUGAAGUUAGCUUGCCAGUGCUUGUUUGUUCAUCAGCAUUUACAGCUCAUUUGUCAUUGGUCAGCAGAAUUUCCGCUGUUUUUAGAAGGUCAAGACACAACAAGAUCAGCAUAUGUUGUAUCUAACAUUUAUAUUCAACAACUGGAAACCAUGUCAUAAAUACAUAUGAAAAAUAUUUAAAAAUCCUUGGUUGAAUACUCGUGCACUAACAUUUUUUAAAAGUUAAUUUUGUGUUACUUUUUUCAUCUCUAUUAUUAUAAAAUUUCCUGAUUUACUUGAUAUCACGACUUAAUUUAGCAUUUAAAAAAUGGAAUAUUACAUUCACUAUUUUUUUAAAAAUAGGAGUAACUAUCAAAAUUAAUUAUUUAUAUAAUCUUUUUUAUAAAAACUAUUUAUUUCUACUAAACCACUACUUUAAAACUACCCAUUAUCAUACAACUUCUCUUUAAUAAUUCACUAUUCUUUCAAACAUUCAUUAGUUUUUCAAACAUAAAAUUUAUAAAUAAUUAUUUUUACCUACAUUUUGAAUGAUGCAAUUUCUAACUAUACACUAAAAUACUCCAUUUAUCAAUUUAAUUUAAUUCAAAGAAUUAUGAUAAUAAUUGAAAUUUCAAAAAAGGAAAAAAACUAGAUAAUUGAAUAUUUAUAUACAAAAAUAAAACAAACAAGACAGACUUAAGCUUUCUUACCCCAAAGACAAGAUCUUUAUUCAAAAUGCAAAACUAGCAAAAUACUCCCUAAAAUUCAUCUAAACACAUCUUCUAAAGAUGUAAUACCCAAGAAGAUUGCCCACAGUUGGUGAUGCACUUCCCAACGAAAGAAAACCAAACUCCUCGCCAAUAUGGAUUUAUGUAAAGGAUAGCAACAAUUGUUAACAACAUAACUACAUAAGAAGCCAAAAAGCUCACACAAAAAACAUAUGUGUCUAGAAAACUAUCUUCUCUUUCAUCAUCUGAUAUUGUUGAUAUUGAACCGGUUUUGGAGCAACUUAUAUGAAGUAUAGGUCCACAGAGAAAAGGGUUCCCCUCGUAACUGCUUUCAAUGAAAGUCCCAAAUUGGUUUUGUUCUGGAAUACUACCUGACAAGUUGUUGUGUGCAACACUGAAAACCCCCAGAGAGUUCAAAUCUACCAGCUGGUUUGGGAUUUCACCACUCAAGUUGUUGUAAGAAAGAUCCAAACUCUCAAUCUGCUUAAGUUUUGAGAAUGAUGAAGGUAUAACUCCGACCAACUUAUUGCGUGACAAGUUCAAAGAAUGGAUUUCACGCAAGUUCCCUAAUUCAAGUGGGAUUUGACCAGUUAACUCAUUGCAAGAUAAAUCAAUCCCAGACAUGUAUUCAAGGAUGUCGCCUCCAUAUGAGAAAGAUCCACUCUUUGUGGUAAACUCUACCGAUUCUUUCAUGUAGCUAUAGGAAUGCAUCAUGUGCUCGAAAAGUAUACCCGUCUUUAAUAGUUUCAAUUCAUCCAGUUCUGAAAAUGUUGGCGACAUUAAAUCUGGUGUCAUGGUCUUAUCCUUAUUCAUUGGAAGAGUUAAAUUUCCCAAACAAGAAGGUAUAGGACCGGAAAACCUAUUUUGAGAAAGAUCUAUAAUGCUCAAGGAAUACAAGGUGCAUAACUGGACUGGAAUUCUUCCCUGUAAAUGAUUAGCUUUCAAGAGAAGGACACUCAAAGAAGAAAGUGUGUCGAUCCAUUUUGGAAUACCACCAGUAAAAUUGUUUCCUCUAAGAUCUAAUGUCACUAGUGAAGUGCUUUUAUUAAAAGCAAGUGACAAUGGACCACCCAGUCUAUUAUUGUGCAGGUGGACAUGCUCUAGGUUUGGAGGAUUAAAACAAGAUGGUAUAGAGCCAGAUAAAUUAUUUUCAGAAAGAUCCAAAAAUUUGAAGUUAUUCAAGUUGCAAAAUUCCACUGGAAUAGAACCCUCGACACCAUUGUUAGACAAGUCUAAUCUCUCCAAAAGUGACAUAUUCCCUAUCCAUCUUGGAAGCUUUCCAUGCAAUCUGUUGUUACUGAGAUCAAUAUCUGUUAGUGAUGUUGGAAACUGAAAAGUAGAGACAUCAAAAUUUGUCAUCUCUCCAGAAAAAUUAUUUCCAUCCAAAUAUAAUUUUUGUAACCCAUUUGCAUUGAGAAUCACAGGAACUACAUUUCCAUUGAGGUUGUUGUUUGACAGUCUCAAAAGAAAUAGUGAGCUUUUCCUGACCAACUCUUGAGGUACUUUUCCAGCCAAUUGAUUGUUUGAUAGAUCUAACAUUGACAAAUUCUUCAUGGCGCUUAAACAAGGAGGGAUAUUGCCUUGAAAGGCAUUCUUGGAUAAGAAUAACUGCUCCAAAUGUGGAAAAGUUGAACAUAUAUUGGUUGGAAGCGGACCUUGUAUUUUGUUGUCAGACAUGUCGAUUGAAGAUACAUUUGAAUUAGGAGUCGACAGUAAUGUGAGAGGACCUGUAAAAGAAUUACCCUUCAAGAUGAGAUCUUCUAACUUUGUGUUGUUUUCUAACAACCAAAAUGGGACAGUUCCACUGAAAUUGUUCUGAGAAAGAUCCACAAAUCUCAAGUCAUUUUGGUAGUAAAGGAAGGUAGGAAGUUCAAGACUGAGUUGUUGAGAUGUUCUGCACUUGGACAAACUAAUGAAUUUCAAUUGGAAUUUCGGGACUAAGGUGUGGAAGGAAGGUUCCAUUUCCAACUUGUUUUCAUCAGCCAAGAGGACCUCAAGGUUUGGAAAGUUUGCAAGUGGUACGAAUGAAAUUGGAAUUUGAAAAUGAUUACUUGAAAGAGAAAUGGCUCUGAGUGAUGUAAGACUUGCUAAAGGAGUUAGAUUUCCGGAAAAUCGAUUGUUGGAGAUAUCUAACUCACGAAGAGAUGUCAAGUUACUGAAACAAUGAGGAAGCAUCCCCUCAAGUGCAUUCCAACUCACAUCCAACACUUCAAGGUUCCUUAGAUCACACCAUCCUGAAAAAUUUAUGAAAUCAUGGAAGAAUUUCUAAUUAAAUUUGGUUUUCUAAAACAGAAUAGGAGAAAUCAGAUAAAGAAAAGGUCGUAUAGAAAAUUUUACCGUGAUCAGGUAAGGAACCAAUAAGUGCACACCUAUAUAGAGACAAAGUUUGAAGAGAAGUGAAUACUCCAAUGCUUUGCAAAAUGUUGAUGUUGAGACGAGAAUAAUCGAGAUUUAUUUCCUCCAAGUUGCUUAAUUCUAAUCAAUGAAAAGAGGUAGUAGGUGUUAAUGAAACGUAAGUUGUUUUGGAAUAGAAGAAGUAUUAGAUGUUAAUCAAGAAAAGGUGUUUACCUGAUGAGAAAGCCUCUACUAAGUUUUCUAGCGGAAUGCUAUCGUCGGUGACAAUACUUUGGAGACGAAGAACUUUUAACUUUUUCAAUCCCUUGUUUUCUGUGAGCGAAAAUAUUUUGAUAAAAAUUGUGAAAACUUCAACAUGAUUGCACUAAUUGUUUUUCUUUUCUUUCUAGCAUUUUAAGAUAAAUAAUGUGUAAAAUAGAAUUUUCCUUUAUUGAGAUCAUUAUAUUACUUUAAAUUUAUCACCACUAAAUAGAAAAUUAUUAUUAAAUCAAAGUUUUAAAUUUAUUAUUACUUAAAUGUUGUUUAUGCUGGGUGAUUUUGAUGAGAAUAAUUUAUUAUAUAAAAAUAAAAGUAUAUUUCUUAAAGUAAAAUAAGAGAAAUAUUUUAAAUUUUUUUGAAAGUGUUUAUAUACAUAUUACACUUAAUCACUCUUUUGAAAAUUCUAAUUACUCUUUUAAAUUUUAUGUUAAUUUUAAAAAGUAUAUAUAAUUUCAACAGAAAUAUUACUUUAAUAUUAAAAUGAAGAGCUUUUGUGGGUAAAAAAAAUUAUAUGAGUUUAUUUAAUUACAAAAAUAAUUUAAGAAUUUAUUUAAAAAAUAUGUAGUUGUUUUAGGCUCGAUCCUAGGGGUUAUUUGAGAGUGCGGUCGCCCAGGGCUGGAAGGGGCCCAAUUUUUUUUUCAGAUUUUAAUAUGGGAAAAUAUUCAGACUAAAAUAAAUAAAUAAAUUGCCUAGAGCUUUCAAAUUUUCACCAUAAAUACUUCAUCUCCUAUGGCUAAAAAAUUUUUCAGCUUUUAUUGUAUUACAUUUUAUAAUAUUUUUAAAAAGACUCGUUUAAAGACUUUUUUAAGUAUAUUAACCUAUUUUAAAAUUCCACAUUUUUAAAAUGUCUUAAUUUUCAAAUUAAAGUACAAACACACUAUAAUCCACAAGCCUUAAUUGCCAUGUCAACAUAAACCACCAUUUAGAAGAUUGUUUUCAUUUUUUAAAAAAUAAAAAAAAAUUAUUUAAAUGAUACCUUUGUGGACCACAAAGCCUCUCAAUUGAUUCCCACUCAUAUCUAGUUUCUGUAAGUUAGUAAAUGCAUCCAAAUCUGGGAAAGAAACAGAUAAGCUUCAUUAAAUCAUUCCAAAACAUGAUUAAUAUUUUUGUCUAUAGAGGCAUAAUUUGUCAAAAAAUAAUAAUUUUACCUUUCAUAUCUAUUAAUCCAUUCAAUUGAUUGAAACCUAUGCUCAAAGAUUUCAGAUUUGAAAGCUUGUUUAGAGUUGCAAAUACACUGUUAUUGAAGAGAUUUGCUUCUAAAUUAAGCUCUUCUAAAUGGGUUAACUCCAAUUUCUUACCUUCAUCUACAAAAGAUUUAACGUAAUUUCAUCAAUGAAAAAAAUGAUAUAAAUUUAAUUAUGUGUAAUAAAUUAUUUAACUGAACCCUAAAUUGUGGGUUAAUGGUUCAAGUGUUCGAAUUAUCAUUGUGUAAAAAAAACAAACUUAAUUAACGGACCAAAAUAUAAAUACAUACCUUUGAAGGAUUGAAAGUUUACCAUUUGAUUCCACCUUAAAUCCAACGUCUUCAAAAUUUUCAAAUUAUUCAAUCCUAUAUAUACUCAAGUUGAACAAAUAUUUUAAUAACUUGGCUGAAGUGAAAAGGGUAAAAGUAAGGAAGUUGAAAAAUCCCCAAAAGUGAAAGUACUAAUUUGAAACAAAUAAUUAUAAAGGGUCCUACAUAAGUAAGGACUUUAUGCUUGAAAGCCUUCAAGGAAGGAAAAUGUGUGGUUUCCAUGGGAUCUAAUUAUAAUCCUUGUUUGCUGGAUUCCACCUUUUUUAUUUGGCCAACAAAAAAUAAAUAAAUAAUAUAAAAAAAUUGUGAUUACUAAGGCUUCAACCUUGAAGUUUAAAUAGAAUUAUUCAAUCCCAAAAAUUGACCAAAAAUUUCCCUCAAACAAAACUUAACUUUAAAGUAGAAACAAAACCAGAGAAAGGCAAUCUACCUUGAAUAUGAGGCCACUUUCCUUCUAAUAGGUUGUAAGCUAGAUUUAAAUAUUGGAGAGAUGAAAAUUGGCUCAAAGAUAAUAUAAAGCUAUCAUUCAGAUGAUUUUGACUUAAGUCAAGGAACUGCAGAUUUCUGAAUGUGGAUGAUAGCUUUUCAAAACCUGCAGAGUUAAUAAUAACAAGUAAUCGCAAAAUUAACAGUAAGUUGUGUUGAAAAUAUGUGUACAUAAUAGAGUAACUAAAGAUGAAAUGAAGGGCAAAUCAAAUAUAGAACCUUCAUUUUCAACACAACCGGCUAUGCCACUCCCUGUCAAAUAAAGCCUCUUUAAUUCCUUGAAGGGAAGAAACAAAGAGGCAUUCAGAUACCAAUAAUCCAAGUAUCCGGACCUCAUAGAAUCAAGAGAGAGUCCAAUGAGUCUCCCAGUGGUGGUGUUGCACUCAAUCCCUUUCCAUUUACAACAAUCUGAACCUUUAACCUCGUCCCAGCUGUCGAACUCAUUAUAGUGAUUGAAGAAAGGUUUGAGUUGCAAGAGAGCAACUCUCUCAUGCUCCACACAAGCAUCAAUAGUGCACCACCUGCAUCCUUCUAACAGUAGCAGCACACUCAUCACUGCCAUCCUCAUAAACCACAACCAUUUGGAGUCCAUCAUCUCUCUGUUUUUGCUUCUCUCUCAAUUGUAUGCUACUUCAAACUUCUAUUGCAUUAGCCUUCAUGAAACUUGUUAUUUAAAGACAAGGACCUAAGGCUGAAGGCAACCCACUAGUCCACGCUGAAAUAGUCCACUGAAUGUGACGAUAUAUAGGCCCUACAAAGUGUGGUUGUGGAAAUAAUCUAAACACCUAUCCUCCAAAUUAAUACUAUUCCUUGAGAAAUUAUUAAAGGUCAAUUUCUGGUUUUAGUCCCUACGCAAAAUUCAUUUUGAAGGUUUAGUUUUUAUAUAAUUUAAGAUCAAAUUUUUAUAAUUAAAUUAUCAUUUACGUCUGCUUUAAAAUUAUGAAAAAAAUAUUUUAAAAAUAUAACGAACUCCAGCUACAGCUUCAAAAUAUGAUGAAGAUGUUUUAGUAGAAUAAAUCGCAGAAUCCGCCAUCUUUGACUUUUGUUUUCUUAUUGUGAGAAUAUCUUAACAUUAUAACUUUUGAAUAUAUUUUGUUAUUUCAGUUAUUAAUUUAGAUCAUAUACAAAUUUCUUUCGUGAUAGUCUCAUUUAGAUUUGAAGUUUGUUGUUGGAUUUGAAGUUACAGGAAAAUAUGUUGAAAAUUUGGGUUUAAUAUUAAAUAAAAUGGGUUGGUAAAAUCUAUUAAUGUUAGUGGCGUUUUCCCACAAAUGCCACUAUAGAACAUGAUCUUUAGCUGCGCUUUUACUACAAACAUUGCUAAAAAACAUGAUUUUUUGUGGUACUUCUAGCUAUAAAUGCCACAACAUGCUUGACUCUUUUAUAGUGUUUUUCCAAAUGAACGCCGCAAAUUUUAGCGGCGCUAUCUAAAGCGACUUUUUACUGGCACUUAUCAAAGCGCCGCAAUCUGUUUUAGCGGCACUUAUAAGCACCGCCAUAGGGCCAAAAAAACACCGCUAAAAACCUAUUUUGCUGUAGUGAUUUACGCAUUUAUAAGCCUACAAAAUAAUCACGGAUUCAAUUUUAGAGUCCGUUAUCAGCCCCUAAUCGGGACAUCAAAUUGACCAAAAAGGGCCCACAUGACCUACCUGUUCAACUUGUGUAAUUGCACACGCCUAAGUGCUCCACACGGCCUGGCACACGGCCAACUACACAUCAAUGUGGUGCACAUGAACUUGUGACGCAGAGUAGCUUUGAAAAUUGUAACCUCCCAAACCCGGCCUAGAUGUUAUGACUAGAUUGAGAAGGCUACAAUAGCCACCGAAAUGGCUAAGCUAACUUACGUUACUUUUGAAGACCUUAAAUAAACUCAUUUUAGAGAAAACCGUAGUUGUACUUUGAGUUAGCUUAAAAGCAUUCAUUCAUUAGGUCGUGUAUACUUAGGAUUCAUUUUAUUGUUGAUAGUGUUGUUUUACAAAAAUAGUUUGCUUAUCGCUCUUCUUUUAAAAAAAACUCGAUGGUAAACUAAUGUGCGGAAAAACCAUUUUUCAAGUCAUUUUGGAAACUUAGUUGCCUUAACGAUUUGUUUUUCAGAAACAAUUCCUUUUUAAUGCAGCGGAAACUAGGGAACAAUAUCAAAUUUUACUUAAGCUCGAUAUCAUGCAUUAUUCAGUUAUUAUGCUUGAGUAAUCCAUGCAUGCAAAAAUCCCAAAAGAAAAGUUACUAAGCCACAAACCACAAGUCAUUAAAAAUUACAAACCAAAACUAAUAGAAUCUGAUUAAUACUUUUUAAAAAUAGUCCGAGGUCCAAGGUGAUUCUUCGAAUGCCAAGUCCGAUCCUAAUUUUGAGGUUUACACAUUCAUUUGACAUACUCAGCACGUCCUCAAUAAUCACAUACUUUUAGUAAAUGAAAACAAUGUUCCAAACUUUCAAAUUACCAUUGUGUUGGUAUUAAUCAAUAUCGUUCAAUUUCGCAUACUUUAUGAAUUUUGAUUAUGCAUAAAUAGCACCCUAUACAACAUAUAUGUAUAUAAUAUAUGCCAAGAAAAUUUAGAAAUACAAUAAAUCAACCUAAAUGAAAUCAUUCAUCAUCAUUUUUCAAGAUUUUAAAUUAUAUUUUCUCAUUCCCAUUGUCAGUGUAUUUCAACUUGUAAACAAAGAUGAUGGCUACUAUAAAUGGAAUCAUUGAUAUAUCAUGAUAUUUGAAUUUGACAACUAUUUUUAUACAUUUUAUUACCAAAAGUAAGGGUAUUAAUUUUUUAAUGUUUAAUUGUGGUUUAGAGUUAAUUUAUUUAAAGUUAAUUGUUAAUAUUAUUAAAUUCAAAUUUUCGUAAUUGUAUUAAUAGAAUAAAUUUAGUGUUAAAAGUGAGUUUAUUCAAUUUUAUAUUUAAUUUGUUAAAUGUAAUCUAAUGAUUUUUUUGUGCUCUAGUGUUGAUUUAAUUAAAGUUAAUUAUUAAUAUUAUUAGGUAACUAUGAGUUCUCAUCAAAUUAAUCCUAAAAUUCAAAUUAAAUGCUAAAAAAUUAACAUUAUUACUUUUAAAUAUCAAAAUGUAUAAAUUUUAUUAAAUAUAGAUACUAAAUCAAACAAAAAUUAUAAAUUUUGAGUCGUUGCAAAUUUUUCCAACAUUUUUGGGGUCUUGAAUUUGAUAUGCAAAAAGUUGGUGGGAAUUUUAAGUCAGCAAAUCCUUUAAAAGGGCAAUGACAUAAUUAAUUGCAUUACUUUAAUGGUUGAAUUUUCAUAGCUAAUAUGUAUGCAAAAAGUUGGUGUGAAUUUUAAGUCAGCAAAUCCUUUAAAAGGACAAUGACAUAAUUAAUUGCAUUACUUUUCAAAGAUCGACUACUGACUUUGGUGAACUUAUUUAUAGAAGGUUAAAUUCUGCUGUUGGUCACUGUACUUUACGAAAGUUGUGAAUUUAGUCUCUAAACUUCAAUUUGAUCAAUUUUAGUCUCUAUACCUUUUGAAUUUUGAAAUUUUAGUUCUAACCCAAACAGUAGCAGUUAUCAAUUUGAUUAAAUUCUAUUACUAUCGAUUUAGUCCAAACUUUCUGAAUUUUGAAAUUUUAGUCUUGAUGCAAAUGACAAUCACUGGUCUAUUAAUUGGAUUUUUAGUAAAUAAUAUGUGAAAAUAACAAGUUUGUUGACACCAUUUUUUUGAUAAAAAUGGGGUCGACUUAGAUUUUGAAAAUAAAAACGAAAAUGGGAGUCGCCACCGAUCCUUUUUGAUAAGGUGUGAUCGGGUCACCUCAAAAAGUGAUUGUUUUUAAUAAGCGAUUUGAUUUUAUUAAAACAACGAUUUUAGUCCACGAAAUUUAAAAAAAUGGGUUCGGGAGUCGGUUACGUUCAAGGAAGGAUUAGCACCCUCGUAACGCCCAAAAUUGGUACCUAGUUGAUUAAUUAAUAUCUUAAUGUCGAGAAUUGAAAACUCGAAAAGAAUUUAAAAUACAAUCAUUCCUUUUUAUUAAUGUUAAAUUUAUAAACGAUGCUUGGAUAAAUCGAGGUGGAUGCUAAAGACCUUCUUGUCUCAGAGUAAAUAAAAUGUCAAUCCAGUACGUUAGGACACAACAUUUUAAAUCCUCGAGAACAAGCUUAUCUUUUUAUUUUCAAAACUCGUGCAUUUAAAUUUCAAAAGGAUAUUCGAUUAUUUGGAUCAAAGGAGAUAAAUCGAAACCCAGUGAGUUAGGGCACGAUCAUUCAAAUUUCCCAAAUACAGAAUAUCACUUUUAUUAUUUUUUUAGGAAAAUCCUCAUCUCGGGAAAACAACAUGUCAUAUCCAAUGCGUUAGGACACAACGUAUUAGAACCCAAUACGUUAGGGCUCAAUCUUCUCGAAGAUCCAAAAUACCGAGUAUUACCCUUAUUUUCAAAAUUUUCUCUUUAUUACGAAUUUGAGUAAAAAUUGUAAAUGACAGAAUAACAAUUAUGAUAAUGUAAAUAAAUAAAUAAAUGAAUAGAAUGAAAAAAAGUAAAAAAGACAUAUAUGUAUGUGCAUAUAUAUAUAUAUAAAUUAUAAAAAAUAUAUAUGAUAUUAUAAAAAUGUAUGCAUGUAUAUAUAUUAAAAGUAUAUGUAUAUGUGUAUUUCGAAAGUAUAAAGUAUAUAAGAUAUAUAUAUGUAUAUGUUUAUAAAUUAUAAAAUAUAAAACAUAUAAGUACGUAUAUAUAUAUAAAUGAAUCAUGAAAUGCACGUGUAUAUAUGUAUAUAUUAGAAAAUGUAUGAAUAUAUAACAAAAUUUGGAAUUAAGGAUGUAAAUGAGUGAAUAAUAAUAACAAUGAAUUAAAAUACAAAAUCAAUGAUGCCAUACAAUAGUAUUAAUAAUAUCAAAAUAAUUAAUUUAAUGAUAAAAUAACUAAAACAACAAAUAGAGGAUUAAAUUAGAAACUAAACUAAAAUUUGGGGUCAAAUAAAAAUAACUUAAAGAGGGUGACUCGGGACUAAAACAAAAUGCGCUGAAGGAGCAAGGGACUUCCAGGGAAAUAUUCCCUAGUCCUGAAACGCAGCACUUCAGCAAGGAUUAAAAUGAAAUCAGAAAAAAAUUUAUGGGCCAAAAUGAAAGAAACAAAAGGGACAAAUUGCACUGAACUAUAAAAGAGGAGGGGCUGAACGCGCAAAUAGCCCCUCCAGGCAUAACACGCGGAUCCUGACCGCAUUCGGGUCGGGUCUCGGAUCGGCUCCUGGGUUUUAUGCCAAACGGUGCUGUUUUGGCCAUGGAUGCUAAGGUCCAAAACGUCGCCGUUUUUAAACUAUAUAAACACUCAAAAAAUCAACAAAAAAAAAAUUCAUCCCUUAUUUUUUUCAAAAAAACUGAGAGUCUCCCUAACUCUCUCUCAACCCCCAUCCCUCAUAUUCGGCCGACGACCUUCUUAGGCCUCCGUCGCGCCACCUCGUAGCCGGAGGUCGGCGCCGGAAAUGAAAGGCCAUUAAACCCCUUUUGUGGAGUCCUUGAGAGCCAGGCUCUCUCAACCCGCGAGGAGUGAAACAAAAGGGGGACCCUCGACCUUGGCAGACCCGACUCAACGAUGGAGGAGAGAGCCUCUGGCGGCACAGUCACGGCCAACUCCAGUGAGUCACCCUUCCCUUUUUGUCCUUUCUUUUAGUACUAGUUUUAAAAUCAGAUUUUUUAAAAAAAUGAUAAAUAAAAUAAGUAAAUAAUUCAAAAAAAAAGAAUCGGAGAAGACAGCAACCUUUGUUUCUAUUUCUGAAAUUCGUAAAAAAAUGACAGACGAAGAAUACAAUGUUAAGAUUUUGGCCUUUAUAGCCGAUUUAAAAACCCCUAAAUUUUUAUUUUUUGUCGUUUUGUUGUUUGGCCUGUUCUGCUGUUGCGUGUGGUUUACUGCCUUGCAGGUGUCAGAGGCUGACGGUCGGUGAUAGGCGAGUAACGGCCUGCGUGAGGAGUGGCAGAGGAGGCAGAACAUGCGGCGCUGGGCAUUGGGCAGAGGCGUGCGGCGCUUUGGGGUUUGCUCUUGGCUGAAAUUGUUUAAGUUGUGGGGCAGUCGAGCCACUAGGGUUUUUUUUUAUUGGGACGUUUGGGCCAUUGUAAUUUUGGGUUUAAGUUUGCUGUAAAUGGACUGGAAUAGUUUUUAUUUUUUAGGCCCGGGCCAAAAUUGGGCCUUACAAAGUCGAUAUGACAUUACACAAAUGAUAAUAUGUUUGUCACACCAAAUUUUAGAGAUAGCAGAACUUAAUGAAUUUAACAAAUAUCGUUUACGGUGAUUGAAAUCUUAAAAUUUGAAAAGUACAAUAACUAAAAUAUCAAAUUAACUUAUAGGGAUUAAAUCCACAACUUCAAUAAAAUACAGGAAUUAAUGGUAGAAUUUAACCUUUAUAUAAUAAUUUCCUUGGUGAAAAAAACGCACAUUAUCAUUUCCUUGAAUGAACUUCAAUUUGUCCAUUGAGAUAUAAUCGGAGGGAGUGGAAUAUAUAUAAGAUAAUAUUUGAUGUAUUCGGUAAAUGGAGAAUAUUAAAUAGAGUGAGCAAGCCAUUCGCCUCACGGAACACAUUAACGAAAGACACAAGCUUAAUACAGUCACUAAAUCCAUCAAUUUCAUUAACAACCUGCUAAUAAUUCAAGACAAUUGUUGGGUCCGGAUGGAUUAUAUUUUAAAAUUUUCUUUCAAAAUACAGAAGUUCCUUUGACAAAAAUGAAAAUAUUAUUUAAUUAUAGGGUUAGUAAUUAGUACACUGAUAAUCUACUUAAUGCUAUUGAUUUUUUUUUAAUAUUAUACAACACCUUUAUAAAACACGUGUCAACCCUCUGACUCUGCUUAUGAAAUUUAAAAACUUCAAUGACAAUGUACCAACUAUUAUUCUUAAUUAUUAUACUAUUCAUGAUUUAAGGACAAAGAUCAAAUACAAUAUUUGCUUAAAAAUCUCUAAUAUAUAUGUAUAUAUAUAUAUAUAUAUAUAUAUACAUUUGCUCACUUAUUGUGAUGUAAUAUAGCACCAUCCAGCUAACCCUAGCUUUCUAGCAAGUAGUCGGAGGAAAUUAUUGAGAAAAUAUCAUUAAAUAUAUCAACAAUAAUUGCACUAACUUUCCGAUGUUAACUACUGACCUUUGCGUCAACCUUGAGCUUAUAUAGGCCCCCUACAAUAAUUUAGGCUAUGGAAAUAAUCUUACAAUUAAUGCCUGAGAAAUAAUUAUAGAUCAAUUUAUAGUUUUAAUCCCUAUAAUUACUCAAUUGAAUUAAAAAUUUUGUUAUUCUUAUUUAAUUUAAUUUGAUAUAUUCUGUUCCUCUUAUUAAUGUUAAUGUUUAGAGUCCCCGCUUGUACAUUGGUGAUUAGGUCUCUCACCAUUAAAUUAUUCUCUUAAGAACCUAACCUGCAAAUUCAUAACAUAAAAAAUUUACAGUCAAAUGUAAUCACACAAAUGACAUUCCUCACUUAAACAGAUUAAGUCGUUGCAAAUAUCUAAACAUAAUCAAAGUCGUCGUUAUGGCCCCAAGAGAAGGCACGUUAACUUGUCUCUCUCACACAUAGGAUGAAAUUAGUCUAAACCUAACCUUGGUAGAGCCGACCAUGUCGGGCAGACCACCCUACAUAAAUCUGAUUAUUUUAUCAUAGUUUAUUCAUCACUGAAGGAAGUAUGCAAAAUUAGGCAUACCAUUUAUCCUCACCUCUCUCGCUGACAAAAGAUUCAUGUUAAGUAUAUUCACCCUACAUAAAUUAUCAAGAGGAAUCACAGAUUUAAGGACCGUGGAAAAGAAUUCCAGAACCAGUUAUAUACAAGCAGGGCCUAUGACAUCCCCACUAAUUCUCAAUCAUAUAAAAUAAUAUAUAAUUAAUUCGUCUGGAAUGUUUAAGGCAUGGUGGUGAAUAUAUCAUGAGCGAUGUUGCUGAGUUUCUUCUGAAGAAUUGGCUAGCUAUUAGUGUCUAAAGGAUCUUUAGUUAUAUGGGGCUUAUGUUUCGGUUGCUUGAACAAUUGCUUUUCAGAGGGCAGAAUAGUAGAGGGGGGUUUUGGGGGUCUGGUGGUAUGGAGUUAUGAUGUUAUCAAUAUGAGAUUUUGGUGAUUUGUACUUGAUAAAGGGACACUUUUCGUGAGGGAUUGCUACAUUUUGCAGAUUAUAACAUUGUUUACAAGUGCUUAAAAUGUGUAAUAAUUUGAUCGAGAGAAAAAAUGACCAAAACAAAUGUUCUCAGCAUUUUUGCUUCAUUUAGAACUUGUAAUUAAUUUUUUUUAUCAGAGAAGUUGUAAUUAAUUGGAUUUGGAAUGAAUUGAUAAUAUCCUUACUAUUUCACCUUUUUUAUAUGUUUGGCGUGUGAGUAUGAUACAGAUUGAACUGGUUUUUAAAGUAGAAAUAAAACGAUAACAAACCAAAACAUUCUGGUUUUCAAAAUUUUGAAUCCAAAUCAAUCGAAUUAGUUUAAUUAUAAUUGAAUGUUUUAUGUGUUAUGAUGAUGAAGGAAGUUGAUGAGGUGACUUGCUUCAUCUUUCAAAAUAUGAGGUUCGUUUGAAGUUCUCUUUGACACAUCUUUACUAUUGUUUUUUAAUAACAAAUGAAAAGUCAAUUUAAAAAACAAAAAUCCAAACCAAUGAAUUUCUUUUAUACAUAUAAGAUAAGCUUACUGCAAAGCUCUUGUUUUUUCAAAAUAAAAUUUUGUUUUUGUUUUAUUAAUUUUGUAUGAAUCAAAUGAAGUUUAAUUUUUUUAAGGGUAAAUUAAACCAACAGUAACUCAACUUUGAUGCAGCUGACAAAAUAGUUGAUUUGGUUUCAAUUCAGUCACUCAACUUUCAAAAAAUAACAAAUCAGUCACUAACGUUACCAAAAAGUGACAAAUCAAUCACCCAUUAACAUUUUCCGUUACAGACCUAACGGGACAGGUGACAUGGCUAGUUAACUUGCCACGUUGACAUGGCAAUGCAUUUAAAAUUGGUCUAAUUAAGAAUUUGGUCAUUGUACAUUAUGAAAACAUAAAAAUUAUUUCAAUUGAGUAUCAAUAUUAAAUCUUGUCCAUUGACCCAAAAAUCAUCAUUUCAACAAAUUGUAUGUAAGAAAUUAGUGAAAAUCAACAAUUCAGUAAUUUAUAUCAAAAUUGAGGACUAGCUUUUCAUUUUUUUGUAAAUUACAUGGAUGACAUUCACAAUUAGACCUAAAUAGUGACAAAUUACAAAUUUAAACCCUAAAUACCUUUGUUCAGAGGAUCCGUAGCCAACAGAAUCAAUAAAACCGAUGGAGAUGAAACUCAUGCAUUUGGCGUGAAGAUGAAACUGGACAGAGUAGAACUCGCAUUGUUCGUCACCGUUGCAGGUGUCACAGUCACACGAGAAUCGCAUCGACAUGGCGCGUCGGCUAGUGAGAGGGAUUAGAUCAAGUCGAUGGGCAAUGAACUUGUCGUUGACGACGGAAGAGUUAACUUCAAUUUUGACGAGGUCGAUGGCUAUGUUGGGAACCUCGGCUAUCAUGACACGAUGGAGGGCAUUGGCCAUGGAGGCGUUGGUGUCAUGGCAGCAUAGUUGUCUUUGAGUUCUCGGAUUUUGACCCUUGGGAAUCGCUAGUAUGAAGCUCCUUCCAUUUUCUCUUCUUCUCCAUUUCUUCUCUUCUUCUUCUUCUUCUUCUUCUUCUACUGCCCAAGGCUCUUAAAUGGGGUUGUUUAAAUGACAGCUAGCCUACCGUUAAAUGUCAUGUCACUUUUCUGUUACAAACGUAACGGAAAAUGGUUAAAAAGAUUGAUUUGUUAUUUUUCAAAAAUUAAGUGAUUGAAUUGGAACUAGAGUGACUGUUUUGUCAAUUGCAUCAAAGUUGAGUGAUUGUUGUUGCAAUUUACCCCUUUUUUUUUAAUAGAGAUAAGCUUUGUGGUGGAAAUUUGUUAGGAAAGGAUGAUUGUAGGAAUGGUCCACAAAAUUAAUUGCAUUCCCUUUUCUUGAUGAAUUCUUAUCUUUGGGUCAACUCUUAGCUUAAAUACACUGCUAAAUUUAUUUUAGGUUGUACAAUAUAAAUGGAGCAAUUGAUGUCAGGAGAUAAGUUGGAAGUACAAUUAAAUUUUUUCAUAAGAGGAGAUGGGAUGAGAAGAUUUGAACCCAACAAUUAUUGGAAUUUAGAUUAUAAAAUUGGCGUGAAAUCAUGAAUUUAGAUUAUAAAAUUCUUUCCAUUUUAAUAAUCAUUUUAGAACUAGUUUGGUUUCCAAUCUAUAUUUUGUGUUGUGUUUUGUUUAUGUCAAAUUUUAAAGUAAAACUUUGAAAGUUAAAAUACAUUCUAAGUCCCUAUACACUUUGUACUUUUAGAAUUUAGUUCUCCUAGUUUUUAUUUUUAUGAAUUUAGUCUUUCUAUUUUUUGGUUUUCAAAAUUCAAGUCCCCAAUUAUUUUCACUGUUAAAAUUCUUCUAUUAAACUCACUAGUGUCACCUUUUGAAAUUACCAAAAAAAAAAUCAUUUUGUAGUCAUGUAAUAAUAAAGAAUAACGUUAAAAAUAAUGAUGUGGAUUUUUAUUUAAAAUACUCAUCCAAACUGAUCAUGAUAAAAUGACUUUUUUUUUUGUUGGAAUAGUGUUUUUAAGAAAAAUUGACGUCAAUAUUUUGAUUGGAAUAGUUUACAAUGUUAAUUAUUUAGACUAACUAAUGACAUUACAAAAAUAAAAUAAUGAAAUUAUGCCAAAAAUUAAGGAAUAUAAAUUAAAUCUCAAGUUUUAACAUAAUAUAGGGGCUAAUACUAAAAUUUGACCAUUAAUUUCCAUGUAAUAUAAAAUAAAAAUAAAAAAGUUGUGUGAAGCAGCCCAAGCUUAUGACAGAAAAAAAAAAACACGGCCCAAAGCUAAGGUUACGUGUUAGAAAGGGAAUGUCAUGAUAGGGGUGAGUAUUCGAUCAAGUCGAGUUAAAUUGAGUCAAAAAAGUUUAAGUUAGUCGAGUUUACGAAUCCUAUUUUAGUAACCGAACUCAAUUUGAAUUUUUUUUCUGAAUCAUAUUGAGUCAAAAAGUUUCGAGUCAAGUUGAGUCGAGCUAAAGAAUCCUAUUAUUUAUACUCAAAACUUAUAUUUACAUGGACCGAUUAUUUAACUAGUAGAUGAAGUACAAGAUUAUUUAACUACAUAAACAAUAUAAUGGUUUUGCCUUUUAACUUAAUGAGUAAAUAUUUAUCAAAACGAUAUAGUUUUGUCUUUUAAUUUAAUAGUUUUGACUUUUAACUUUGGAAAAGAUAAAUUCAGAUUUUCAGAUAACUCGAAUUGUGUAAUUCAUAUUCAAGUUGAAUAUAAAAACUUAAUUUUUUUAUUCGGGUUGAUCCGAAUAACUUGAUUAACUCAAAUAACUCGAACUAUUUAAUUCAAAAUUUAAAAUUUUUAUCAAAAUUUUCAGAUCAAAUCGAAUUUUGCUCACCCCUAGUAUUGGACAUUAUUUUUAUAUACGGGUGUAUAUAUAUGUGUGCGUGUGUGUGUUUGAUGUGAUUUCCUUGUGAGUUCCAUCUAUUUUUAGAAGUUUUUCCACGUAAAAUAUGUGUAUUUAAUAUUUUCAAUUCUUUUAUUAUUCUACUUGCUCGUUGCAAAUACGUUUGAUUCACAACAUUUUAACCUAAACUUAAUUGUAAAUGAUAAGAGAUAUUUUACGAUUAAAUAAAAAAAUUUAAACCACUAAACCAUUACCCUAAUAUGUCAAAACACAUGCAUUUUUUAAUUUCAAAAUUUAUGAAUUCCGAAGUAAAGAGCAUACGAUAUUUAUAUUAAUGUAAGAAAUGUAGGCUUGCUAAGUUUCGCAAAAUCAUAUUACACUUUUAAUUGAAUAUAAUGGUGGGAUGAUUCAAUUAUUAAAAACUAAGUUCGGGCAAAAAUGUAAAAAUAAUCUAAAAUUAAUUGAAUUAUUAUAAUAAAUUUAUAUAACUUAUGGAGUGAACCAAAUCAUGACAUAAUAUCAAAAAUAAUUAAGACAUGUCAUAUUACAAAUAAUAAAAACUCAACUUUAUAAGCAUAUCAAAAUUUAUUAUCAUGGCGUAUAAUAUGUUAUGAAAAAAGAAAAAAGAAAAAAGAAAAAAGAAAAAGAAGAGAGACAAUCGCUUCAUCAUGAGAUAUAAGCCCUUGAAACCAAAAGUUAGUUGAAGCUGUUAGGAUCGACUCAAUUAAGCAACAAGUAACAAAAAAUAGUGGAGUAAAUUGAGAAAUUGAACACACAAAUUUAACGUGGAAAACCCCUCCAAAGAGGAUAAAAACCACGGGCAAAAAUAAUUUUACUAUAAUGACAAAAGAAUGAAGAGUACAAAAGAUGGAGAUAAAAAGCUAAACCCCAAAAAACCCCAAAAACAAAGAACCCUCAAAACGUAAACACAAUGUAACGCCCCAGAAUUUUUAUUUUUGUUCUUGCAAAGGUAUAACACAAUUGUGUAUCUACUUUAGUGGUUAAGUGUUUUGGGUGUAUGAGAGGUCUCAAGUUCAAGCCAAGACUUGGCGAAAUUUUGGUAUUUUUAUGAAUAAGCUCUAUCUUUGGUCAGUAGGCUUUUAAGUAAGAGUCGACAAAUAAUUAAAAGAAUGAGCUUGUUCGUUUGGUGGAUAAGUGGAGUGUUGGUGUGAAGGAGGUUUUGUGUUCAAUUCUCUAUGGUGGCAUGGAGAUAGUAUUUUUGCUCCAAUUUUGGCUAAGAGUUGUGUUUGGGCAAAAUUCUGAGUAGUUGUGUUUUAGUGGGUUAAUAGGGAGUGAUUUUUGGAAAUAAUGGGGGAGAGGUUAUCAGAAAAUAAUCUGAUUGUCUUUUUAUUGCAUAAAAAAAGUAGAGUUUCGGUUUUCUCUCCAAUUACCCAAACUUUUUCUGACGUUUUCUUCUUUUUUUUCCCUCCGCUGUCGAUUCUUUCCCCUAGUUGUUGCCAAAAUUUCCAUUAUUUUUUCCCCUUCCAUUUCUUUCUUUUAUUUUCCAAUUGAUUUGGUUGUUUAUCGUUGGUUGCGUGUGUUCGGUAAGUAACGGUUUUGUCUAUUGUUAAUUGUUCUUAGUUAAUCUCUGAAAGGGGGAUUCCUUUUUGGUGUUUCGGAGUUAAUCAAGGGGCUAGUGGUUAUGAAUCGAUGCUGUGAUUGUGUGAAGUCAUGAUUACUCAAGCGAGGUAAGGGUUUUGUUAGGUUUUUAGUUGAGUUCCUUCCAAAAUUGGUUAAUUAAAAAUGAAUUAAGUGAUUAAUCUGGAGAUUUGUUGGUCGAUUUUUAGGUUAUGGAGGCUUAGGAGUGCUUACGCAUUAGAAAUGAUACCAGGUGUGUACCCGAAAAGCAGAAAAUGAGAUUCGGCGAAAAGCAUAAAUUGCUUGCUAUUUGGACAGCAGCAGUGGGCUAACUUUAAAAAAUCAUCAUAAAUUGUGAAAAUUGAAUUAAAGGAUGAAAAAAGUAUGGAAUUAAAUAUUAUUGAGUCUAGUUUCUCAUAGAGAAAUGGUGUAAGUAAUGGAAUUGUAAAUCGUGAGAUAUAAUAAAUUUUGUGAGACAAGGUCAGAAUGAAUUCAGGUUUCCCUUUUUUGACUUUGGAAAAUCAUUAAAAAUUGUAUAAAAAUGAUUAUGGGUUAAAAUUUAUAUGAUUAAAAUUCUUAAUGAGUAUAUUUUCAAGAGAAACAAACCUUAACAUCAUCUGAAUCUCGUACUAAGAGAUAAUUAAUUUUUAGAGAAGAAGGGUCGAAAUUAUCAGACAGCAGAACAGGGACAAUUUUGAAGAAUUAACUGUACUCAUUGGCUAAACCAAAAAUUCUAAAAAUUUUAAGGUAAGAAGAUAUGUGAGUCUGUUUUUCGGGAAAAUCAAGCGGAUCUUAAUUUUGAAUUCUGUAGCUCUAGUUAUAAAUAAUUUAGUGACAAUGACUCAAGUAGACAACUCUGAAUGAUCAUAUUAGUAAAUAGUGGAAACAUAUAUGAAUAUUUAGCUAGCAUGGGUUACAUUAAAAAUGGAUCACACGGCCAAGGCCAAUUUGGGCCGAGUGGGCCACGCGGGCACAUGGGCGUGUGGGUCCAUUUUUACCAAAAUGUUUCUAAGGCUGCACAGGUUGCCCAAGUCGACUGUGAACCUACUGUAAGGUCGGUAAGUGCUACUUAAACCCCUAAAUGUGUGAAAUUGACUGAAUGAUAUUUGUACUGAGCAUGUUAAUAUCUAAACUGAAUAUAUGUACUGAAAUUGCAUAAUAGCAUAUCAUCCAUGGUAUGUUGCAUUGCAUUGGGUUGAGGGUUGUUAUUUGGAGGAAAUGUACUAAAAGGCUUUAAGCCUAAUUUACUGGAAUCUUAGCUACAAACUACUGUUUUGUGCCGCAAUAUUCAAUACUACUUGAAGUGUAGGAAUGGGUGGGUUGAUUAUAUCCCCACAUGGUGUGUAGAGGCUGGUUGGCAAAUGGAGUUUUAGUAAGCACAAGCAUCGUCAUCUGUCCAUCAUAACUUGGAAGACAACAAAGAUACUCAUAAAAUAGAUCUGCAAACUGAAAAGAGAGAAGUCAUGUGGAGUGAAUAAGAAGAAGAAAGAAAAAAAGGUUGGUGGGAGGAAGAAAAAGGGUCGCGAUAGCCAAUCCGAAGGUUGUCAAUGCCAUUGGGCAAAAUAAAACAUAAUAAACAAACGGCUUGGAGAAAAAAAUUAAGAAAGAAGAAAAAAUUUAGGCAAAAUUUAUAUUAAUGUAAGAAAUGUAGACUUAUUAUGAUAUUACAUUUUUUAGUGUGAUCAUUCAAUUAUUAAAAAUGUAUUUAUAACAAAUUAUGUAAAAUUUUAUAUAAGCAUAUAAUAUGUUAUGCAAAGAGAAUCACUUUUCUUAGUUGAAUUGUUAUAACACAUUAUACAAAAUAUAUUUUAAAUUAAAGCAUAAUGUGAAUACGAUACCAACCAACAAAUUAAAUUCGAUGAUUUAUGGAUAAUUACAUUUAUUACUCAAUUUAAUUUAAUUCAAAGAGCUAUUGAAUACACAUAACAAUUAAUUAUGAUUAAACUUUAAAUUUCACAGAAAAUAAAAAGAAAUAGAUUGUUGAAAAUGAUAAAAUGGAAAGAUAAAGCUACAAACUUCCUCCCCACAAACCUAAGAGCUUUUUAUUCAAAAUGCAGAAAUCAACAAAAUAGUCCUCACAAUCCAACUUAGCAUAGUAAAACAAUUAGGUGGGGAAAUCAAAUAGUAAAUUCCUUUUUCCUUGAAUCAACACCAACCGACUUUGUUGAAAUCUUCACUAUAGCUAAUCACAUUGCCUGAAGAUGUGAUAUGUAAGAAAAUUGGCCAUUGUUGAGUAACGACAGGUUGUGAUGCACUUUCCAAUAAAAGAAAACCAAACACUUCGCCAAUAAGGAUUUAUGUAAAGAACAACAAAAAUUGUCAAGACCACAACUAUAUAAGAAACCAGGAAGCUCACACAAAAAUCAUAUGUGUCUAGCAAACUGUCCUCUCCUUCAUCAUCUAACGAAUUUGAUCUAGUUGAUGGUGCAUCUGGUUUGGAGCAACUUUUAUGCAAAAUAGUUCCACAAAGAAAAGGGUUUCCCUCGUAACUACUUUCAAUAAAGGUCCCAAAUUGAGCUUUUGGUUCAGGAAUACUACCUGACAAGUUGUUGUGUGCCACACUAAAAACUUCCAAAGAGUUCAACUCUACCAACUGAUUGGGGAUUUCACCACUCAAGUUGUUGUAAGAAAGGUCCAAACUCUCAAUUUGAUGAAGUUUUGAGAAUGAUGAAGGUAUAACUCCGAUCAACUUAUUGUGUGACAAGUUUAAAGAAUAGAUUUCACUUAAGUUCCCUAAUUCUGGUGGGAUAUGACCAGUUAAGUUGUUGCAAGAUAAAUCAAUCCCGGUCAUAUAUGCAAGGAUGUUGCCCUCGUACGAAUACAACCCACUCUUUGUUGUGAACUCUAUUACUUCUUCUAAAUUCUAUUACUUCUUCUAAGUAGCUGUCAGGGUAGUAAGGAUUUAUAUCCCUUUCCAAUUUUCUCAUCGCAAUGGAUGUUGAUUCAUCCUUUUCUGUAAAUGGAAGAUAGAACCCAGUUGCUAGACUCUCUUUCUCUUUCAUUGGAAGAGAUAAAUUUCCCAAACAAGAAGGUAUAGGACCAGAAAACAUAUUUUGAGAAAGAUCUAUGAUGCUUAAAGAAUACAACUUGCAUAACUGAAUUGGAACUUUGCCAUGAAAAUGAUUAUCUUUCAAGAGAAGAACACUCAAAGAAGAAAGUGUGUCAAUCCAUUUUGGCAUGCUACCUGUCAAAUUUUUUUCUCUAAGAUCUAAAGUCACUAGUGAAGAGCUAUUAUAAAAAGCAAGUGAUAGUGGACCUCUCAGUCUAUUCCCGUGGAGGUGGACAUGCUUUAUGUUUGGUGGAUUAAAACAUGACGGUAUAGAGCCAGAUAAAUUAUUUUGAGAAAGAUCCAAAAACUCCAACCAAUUCAAGUUGCAAAAUUCCAUUGGAAUAGAACCCUCGAAACCAUUGUUGGACAAAGCCAAUCUCAAUAAAAAUGAUGCAUUCCCUAUCCAUCUUGGGAGCUUUCCAUGCAACUGGUUGUUACUGAGAUCAAUAUCGCUUAGUGAAUUUGGAAACUCAAAAGUAGACACAUCAACAUUUGUCACCUCUCCUGAAAAUUUAUUUCCAUCCAAAUAUAAAUUCUGCAGCCCAUUUGCUUUGAGAAUCGCAGGAACUACAUUUCCACUGAAGUUGUUAUUUGAUAGUCUCAAAAUGGUCAGUGAGCCUUUCGUGAUCAACUCUUCUGGUACUUUUCCAUACAAUUGAUUGUUUGAUAGAUCUAAAAUUGAUAAAUCCUUCAUGCCACUUAAACAAAGUGGGAUAUUACCUUCAAAAGCAUUCUUGGAUAAGAAUAACCGACUCAAAUGUGGAAAAGUUGAACAUAUACUGGUCGGAAUUUGACCUUGUAUUUUGUUUUCAGAGAUGUCAAUUGAAGAUACAUUAGAAAUAAGAGCUGACGAAAAUGAGAGAGGACCUGUAAAAGAAUUGCCCUUCAAGAUGAGAUCUUCUAACUUUGUGUUGUUUUCUAACAACCAAGUUGGGACCGUUCCACUGAAAUUGUUAUGAGAAAGAUCCACAUAUCUCAAGUCAUAUUGGUAGUAAAGGAAGGUAGGAAGCUUACGACUGAGCUGUUGAGAUGUUAUGCACUUUGACAAACUGAUGACUUCCAAUUGGAACUUUGGGAUUGAGGUAUAAAAGGAAGGUUCCGUUACCAUCUUGUUUUCAUUACUCAAGAGGGCUUUGAUAUUUGAAAGGUUUGCAAAUGGUGCGAAUGACAACGGAAUUUGAAAAUGGUUUCUUGAAAUAUCUAACACACGAAGAGCUGUCAAGUUACUAAAACAAUGAGGAAGCAUCCCCUCCAGUGCAUUCCCACUCACAUCCAAUACUUCAAGAUUCCUUAGAUCACACCAUCCUGAAAAAUUGAAAAAAUUGGUGGAAGAAAUUCUAAUUAAAUUUGGUCUUAUUUAAGAGAAUAUGAGAUAUUACACAAAGCUCAUACAAAAUUCAAUUUGAGCCAUAAAUUUAUUUACCUUGAUUAGGUAGGGGACCAAUAAGUCAACAAUCAUAUAAAGAUAAUGUUUUAAGAGAAACAAGUACUCCAAUGCUUUGCAAAAUAUUGGUGUUGAGAGUAGAAUAGUCAAGAUAUAUUUCCUCCACAUUUCUCGACACAUUUGAUUCUAAGCAAUGUCUAGAGAUAUUAGAUAACGAUAUUGUAAAUAGAAAAUUAUAAUUGAUCAUGAGAAAGAAGUUCAUAUUGACGAGAAAUGCCGAGGACAGCAAUCGCCAUCCCAUGUCAAAAAAAUCAUUUGAGAUAAAUAAUGUUUGAUUUUCUCAGUCUUUUAUUUUUUGUGAAUGAAAAGAAAUAUAAUUUACUUGAAGUUUUUUUAAUUAUUCGAAAAUGCCAUUUAUUUAUUUUAGGCCAAAAAAUUCCAUUUAUUUAACUGUAAUAUAUAUUUUUAUGUUUUAUAUUAUUAAAACCAUAUGAAAUUAAAAUGAUAGUUAUAUGACAUAUUUUUCCAUAAAUAUGAGUAUUUUUUAUUUAUAAUAUUAUUUUUUUAUUUUUAUAAUUAUUUUUUAUCUCAUAAAAAUUUAAUAAAUUAUUUUGAAAUUAUAUUUAUACAAACAAAAUAAUUAUGAACUCUAAUAUUUUAAAAUUAUGCAAAAUUUAAAAUAUUUUACUUUCAAACCGAAGACCAUAGGAUUUAUAAAAUGUUUCACCGAACCCAUAAGCUGAAUUUUUCCAUGUAUGAUAUAAAACAUAAAGACAAGGAUGAGCAACACAAAGACAGAAAAUUAUUAUUUGGUAGUUUGUUGAUUUACUUUAAGGAUUUAGCAGUUUCAAUCAUGUUCCUGUUAUGCUUUGAUUUUAUUUAGGUUCAUCCAUGUAAAACAAAGAAACAAAAACAUUAAUUAGUUGAAAAAUAAUUAAUUGUGUUAUAACAUAAUCCAAACCUUGUAUUAACAAAUAUUCUGUUUUUUAACCUUUUUCAACGAUGAAGUGGGGAGCACCGAUUCAGGGGCCAAGCAACAACUUUGUAUUGGAGGAUCGAUAUAAAAUUAUUUUUUUUGGAGGGACUAAAGUUAAAAUUAUUUGUGUUAAAAUUGUUGAAAUUGAAUUUUUAAUGUUUAAAGUGACUCAAAAUGCAAUUUUUAUGCAUAUAAUUAAAAAGCUACAGAGGAUUAUAUUGAAUAAUUAAAUUUUAAAAGGACUAAAAAGGGUAUUAUACCCUUGAUUAAAAUAUGUCAUAGGUCCUUGUACUUUUCAAAAAUUUGUAAUUUAGUCGAUAUACUUUUAUUUCUAAGGAUUUAGGCCCUCUACAUUUUCAAAUUUUAGAAUUUAAGUUCAAUUGUUAACAUUAGUUUUUUUUCCAAUGUUUUGAAAUAAAGAAAAUAUUCAAUUGGUAGCAAUGUAACUAAAAAAAUAGCAUUAUAAUGAACCUAAAUUUAACAAAAUAAUCUUAAUAGUGUCAACAAUUAAACUUAAAUUUUAAAAUCUAAAAAGUAGAGGGAUUAAAUUCGUAAAAAUAAAAAUAUAGAGACUAAUUUACAAAGAGUAUAAGGAUUUAUGUUAUAUUUUAACCUAUACCCGUUAGCCUAGGGGGGCCAAGACCUCUGUCUACCCCUUUGGCUUUUCCUCUACACCAAUUGAACAUUAGUUUAAUUGACAUUGUUGAUAUUGCAACAACUCUUUUUCUUUAUUUUCUUCAUCUUAUGAAAAAUGUUAAUUUUUAGUUUUGGACAUUUUUAAUAUGCUUAAAUUUGAGAUUUAAUUAUUAUCCUUUAUUUCUAAUUUAAAUUAAGCUUUAUAUUUUUAUAAUUUUACUAGUUAGUUCAAAUAGUUAAUUCAUUAACUUUUCAAUUAAAAUAUUAUGUAGUUAUAUAUUAUUUAAAAGUGGAUUUUUAAAUAGAUUAAAUUCUUAAAAAUAAAAGUUGAAGGAAAAAAAAUAAAAUUUAAACAAAAACGAAAGUUUAGUCAAAUGAUACCUUUAUGGAUCAUAAAAUCUAUCAAUUCAUUUGCCCUCAUAUUCAAAUGCAUCCAAAUCUGGAAAAAAAAGGGUAACAUAUAAACCUCAUUAUAUUAUCUUAAAACAUUAUUAAUGUUUUUGUUAAUUGAGUCAAGAUUUUGGGAAAAGAAAAUGUUUUUACCUUUUGCAUCUAUUGGUCCUUUCAAUUGAUUGCUUAUGGUCAAAGUUUUCAAAUUCAAAAGCUUGUUAAGAGAUGCAAAGACACUAUUAUUGAAGAGAUUGGAAUUUAAAUUAAGCUCUUUUAAGUGCGUCAAUUCCGAUUUUCUACCACCAUCUGCAAAAGAUUUACAUAAGUUCAUCACUGAAAAAAAUUAGCAUAAAAUUUAAUUAUAUAUAAAAACUUAGAUAACUCAUCAAAUAUAAAUACAUACCUUUGGAGGAUUGAAGGCUUUCAAUUUGAUUCUCGCUUAGAUCAAGUUUCUUCAAGUUUAUCAAAUUACUCAAUCCUAUAUAUUUUCACGUCCAAUUCAAAUAAUUAUGUUAAUAAUUUAAUUUUUACCGAAUAUUUGAAUGAGUUUCAUAAAAUAAAAACAAAAAAUUGGUUUGUUAGGCAAUUUUUUUAGGUGUUGUAGAAAUUUUAAGUUCCUCCAAGUUUAUUAUGCUUAAUUGUUUUUCAUCUAUAGUAGGAAGAAGAAUAGUUUCUAAUUAAUAUUAUAGGCUUUGAAUAUUUUAUAAGUUCAUCCCUUUGAAAAUUUAAUUUAUUCAAUAUAUAAAAAUCAUACUUGUACCUUUGUUUGAGAUGCUUUCAAUUCUGUUCCCACUUAAAUCCAAGUAGUUCAAGUCUGUCAAAUUAUUCAAUUCUGAAAUUCAAUCCUAAAUAUUGAUUAGUUAUAUAUAUUCAUGAUAUGAUAAAAUCAAAUAACAUAUUGCAAGUUUGCAACAACUUUUCCUUCAACAUAAAUUGAUUUUAAAGUACAAAAGAAACAAGUAAAAUCAAUCUACCUUGAAUAUGAAGCAGCCUUCCUUCCAACUGAUUACUACUCAAUCUUAAAGUCUUCAAGGAUGAAAGAUUUCUCAUAUCGAAUAGAAUGCUAUUCUUCCAAGAAUUCCCACUUAAAUUAAGAGUUUCCAAUUUAGUGAGUCUUGAAAGCCACUGAAAACCUGAUUUAUAUACUAUAUAAUUAGUUACUACUAAACAUAAUAAAUAAUAAUACUCUAAUUUUACAAUAAAAAUUUACUAAAAUCUGUCAUUGCCUGUUGGAAUAAUAGUCUAUCAGAAAAGUCAUGCACAAAUACUUAUACCUUGGUUUGAGAUGCUUUCAAUGUUGUUGUAACUUAAAUCCAAGUACUUCAAGUUUGUCAAAUUAUUCCAUUCUGAUGAAAUUCAAUCCCAAUGUUGAUCAGUUAUGUUUUCAUGAUAAGAUAAAAGCAAAUGAAAUAUUGCUAUAGCUUUUUCUUAAACCAAAUUGAUUUUAAAGUAAAAGGAAGCAUGUAAAAUAAGUCUACCUUGAAUAUGAAAUAAUAUAUAAAUACUAUAUUUAUACCUUUGUUUGAGAUGCUUUCAAUUUUGUUCCCACUUAAAUCCAAGGACUUCAAGUUUGUCAAAUUAUUCAAUUCUAAAAUUCAAUCCCAAAUGUUGAUCAGUUAUAUUUUCAGGACAAGAUAAAAGCAAAUGACAUAUUGCAAUAACUUUUCCUUAAACCAAAUUGAUUUUAAAGUAAAAAAGAAACAGGUAAAACCAAUCUACCUUGAGUAUGAAUCAACUUUCCUUCCAAAAGAUUGUAUCUCAAACUUAAAGUCUUCAAGGAUGAAAGAUUUCUCAUAUAGACCAUAUUGCUAUUCUUCAAAGAAUUCCCACUUAAAUAAAGAGUUUCCAAUUUAGUGAGCCUUGAAAGCCACUGAAAACCUGAUUUAUAUACCAUAUAAUAAGUUACUGCAAAACAUAAAUAAAUAAUAAUACUCCAUUUUUUAGUUAAUUUGAGUAAGUUCUUGUUAGUCUUUUUUUCAUCUCAACCAUAUGAAAAAUUAUUGAAGCAAAAACUAAGUUACAGGGGAUAAAAGAAUGGAAAAUCACUGUCAAACGUCACAAUACAAAUAAAAACUAACAAUAGACCAAACUUAAUUUACCUCUUGGAUGACUUGAUCCUUCGAACCGGUUGUGUGAUAAAUCUAAAUAUCGGAGAGACGAAAGCUCACUCAAAGAUAAUAGAAUGCUAUCAUUCAAGUGAUUGUAACUUAAGUAAAGGAUCUCUAAAUUACUUAAUGUGGGUGAUAGCUUUCCAAAACCUGUAGGAGUGUUCUUUUAAUUAUAUACAAGUAAUUAAUGACUUUUCUUCAGUAAAAUAAAAUAAAUUAUAAGUAAUUGCAAACUAACAAUGAAUAGAGAAAUAGAAUAAUAAAAUAUGUAAUUAAGGGAAAAUUAAAGGCACGACCUUCAUUUUCUAGGUUACCACCUAUGGCAUUCUCUGACAAAUAAAGACUCUUCAAUUUCUCAAAAGGAAGAAACAUAGAGGCAUUGAGAUACCAAUAAUCCAUGUUGUAUUCCCAUUUUGUAGAAUUAAGGGAGAGUUGUAUGACUCUCCUAGUGAUGGAGUUGCACUUAACUCUUUCCCAUUUACAGCAAUCUGAACCCUUCAGAUCAACCCAACUUUUCAAUGGGUUACCAUAAUUGAAGAAAGGUUUGAGAUGCAAGAGAGCGAUUCUCUCAUGCUCCAAACAAGCAUCAGUAGUACACCACCUACAUCCUUCUAACACCAACAACAGUACUGCCAUCCUAAUAAACCAUAACCAUUUCCACUCCAUCAUCAUCAUCUUUCUGUUUUCCCUUCUCUCUCAGCUAUAUGUUACUUUUUUAACUUCUAUAUGUAUAUAAUCUGCAGAAGCCUAAGCAGGACCUAUGCAUCCCACUAAUUCACUGUAGUAUUAAAAUAACAUAUAAUUAAUUAGUUCCUCAAAAAUUGAAUGAAUCUAGACUUGUGCUGCUCUAACUUAUACGUUAGGAAAUAAAUGUUGACACAAUUUUUUGUUUUAUUUAGAAGUUGUAGUUAACUAUAUUUGCUUGGAAUGAAACUGAAUUCAAAUCAAUCAAAUUAAUUAUAAUAAAAAAUAAAAUAUCAAAAAACUGUUCAAAAUAUGAGUUAUGUAGAAGCCCUGUUCGACAUAUUUUAACUUUUAUUCUUUAUAUAAAAAUGAGAGUUACAAUAAAUAGUAAAAAGAAAAUCUAAUCAAAUGCACUUUUCCAUAACAAAAUUAAUUGCAUUCCUUGUGGAAAAUGAACUCUUGACUUUGCCGACCAUCCUCGACUGAAAUAGGCUGCUAAUUUUAAUUUAGACUGUAGAAAAAAUUUUAACCCAAUUAAUGUCAUUUGAAAUUAAAAUUACUUUAUAAACCUUUUGUUAGCCCUUAAAUUAAUAAACCUUUGUAAAAAUAGUUAUUGUAGCUAAUUGAGUUUUAACUCAAUCGGUAUUGGUAUUGUUGUCAGUAAAAGAAGACGUAAGUUUAAGUGUGCAGAAACGUGUGUUUUCUCCUAUUUAAGGAUUAGGGUGGAUUAUGAAUAAUUCUUUGAAUUGUAUUAACUUAGAAGCUUUGAGAUACUCACAAUUGAAUUAAACAUUCAAUAUAUAUAUUUAUCUUAUUUUUUUUUCUAUUUCCGAUAAAUAAGAAAAGAUCAUUCUUUACGCCACCAUACGAUUUUAGUAUCACAAUCAAAUGAGACUUUUAAAAGUCUUAACACUAUACAAGUAGUUAGUCGACAAAACUUGCACUAAUUUACUCUUUACGCCGAAAUUAUUUACAAAGUGCAAACAACAUUACUUUCACACUAAUUUUUUCCUUCUAUUUAUGUGGGAUAAAUAUCAAAAUUAUAUAUGAAUUUUAAUUUAAUGUGUAAUAUUAUAUAUAAAUUUUGAUUUUGUGUAAUUUUAAAAUGAAAUUUUGAUUUGAUUUAAUUUUCACAAAUCAUUAACAACAUCAUCGAAUUAGUACUAUAUUACAUUGAUAUAUUGCAUGCACAAACAGGUAUACUAAACCAAUAUGAAAAUAAAUAUAUGUAUUCAUUUAUUUAAAUGUGUACAAUUGAAUCAAAAUAAAAGUUUCAUGUAUACAUAUGGAUCACAAUUCAAGUUUCAUACAUAUAAUUGUACCAAAUCAAAGUUCAUAUAUCAAAUUGCACAUUAAGCCAAAAUUUAUGUAUAAAUUUAAUAUUUAUCCCAUUUAUGGGAGAUUAGCUUUCCAAUGGUAUUGUUUUAUUUACAUUAAUCCAAAUAAUUGGAAAUGAUGAAUUAGUUUAACGAAGAUUGUAAUUCUAUUAAUGUUUCUUCUCGAAUUUUUGGUUGCUCUUAUUAGCAUGUUUUAUUAAUUGAUAGAUUUAAAUUCUUGGAAUAUAUUCUAAUUAAUUAGAUAUUUCCUUCCUUCCAAAAGCCUUUCAAAAUAGGUUUAGUUCGACCAAGAUACUCUUGUAGAAAAUUUUAGUUUUGUGGGAAAAAGAAAACUAGAUUUAUUUUUUACUCUAAUUGGUUUUAUAUGCAAGGUAUAUAAACUUUUGUGUCGCUGCAAUUUUUUUCCAACAUAUGUAUGUGAUUUGUGGGGUUUCAAUUUUGAAUUUUUUUUUACAAUUUAAUUAAAUUGUGAAAGUAUUUGAAAGUAUUUGAGUUGAUACAAUGUUUAGAACUACCCCAACACCCACCUAACCCUUAAAUAGGAGGAUAAACACGCUUCAGCACACUCGAACUCACAUCCUCCUACACCGAUGAUAAUACUAAUGCCAACAGAGUUAAGACUCAACCAGCCUUGAAUUUUGAAUUUUACUUCUUACACAUUUUGAAUUUUGAAAUUUUAGUUUUGACCCAAACAGUAGCAGUUAAAUCAAUUUGAUUAAAUUUAAUUACUAGUCCUAUAUUAUGCGUACGAUUAUUGAUUAGUCUAUACUCUCAAAUUGGGCAAUUCUAAGUACCUAUACUUUCCGAAUUUUGAAAUUUCAGUCUUGAUGCAAAUGACAAUUAUUAAUCCAUUAAUUUGAUUUUUAGUGAGUAAUAUGUGAAAAUAACAAACUGGUAUAACAUUACACAUAUGAUAAUAUGUUUAUUCCACCACAUUUGAAAAUAGCCGAAUUUAACAAAUAUUGUUAGUGAGGAUUGGAAAUUAGAGUCUAGCCCCCUACAAUAAUUUAGGUUAUGGAAAUAAUCUUGCAAAUAAUGCUUGAGACAUCAUUAUACAUCAAUUUAUAGUUUUAAUUCUUAUACUUACUCAAUUGGAAUAAAGAUUUAGUUUUUUAUUUUCUUUUAAUACAUUGUCUAGAAUCUUUAUUCCAAUUGAGUAAGUAUAAGAAUUAAAACUAUAAAUUGAUGUAUAAUGAUGUCUCAAGCAUUAAAAAUAACUAACUUCAUUAAAAAAUUCAUUAGUUGGCUCUCUAAGACUUAAAAAUUAAAAUUAUGUGGUUAUUAAAAAAGAAUUAUUUUUAUUAAAUUAUUAUUUAAAAUAAAUUUAUCUCAUCAUAAUGAUAUGAAUUUUUUUUCUUUAAAAAAUCCACAUUAACCGACUAAUAGAAUUGUAUAAAGCUGCCACCAAUCUCUUGGCAUGAUGGCAAAAGAUUCAGAGGCAAGCCAGAAAGUUUUUUGAGAGGAGUGAAUAAAGUUAUAUCUUUUUAUUAUAGUAAAAAUGAAAUUUUAUUAUUUUAAUAAUUUAUAUUUUUAUAAUUUUUAAAAGAUUAAAUAAAAUUUUUUUUUAUUUUUGAGGGGAUAAAGUAUAAGUUUAUCAUAUACUAAUUUAAAAAUUUUAAAAUUAUAAAAAGACUAAAGAUGAAAUUUUUCAUUUUAGGGAGAUGGGGCCCUGCCAGGUCCCUUGACUUCGCCUUGAUAAAAGUAUUAUGUUGCAAGUAUAAAGUUUGAGUUUAAUCUCGAACAAUCUCAUUUCUUAUCCCUAAUUAUAAAAUAAUAAAAUAAAUAGAGCAAUUGAUGUGAGGAGGCAAGUGUAAUAGGUCAAUUUUGACCUGGGCCAGAUUUCAAAACAAAACCCAAAUUAAAUAAUAAAAGAGUCCAAAAUAAUUAAAACAAUCCAUCCAUUUUACAAACAAACCCAAAUUAGCAGCCCAAAUACAAAUUAAAACUCAAUAACUCAAAACUAACCCUAGCCCAAUUAGCUCAACACUUAAACACAACAAAAAAACCCCUAGCCCCCUAAGCCUCCAACGCCGCAUGACCACCUGUGCCGCACGCCGCCGCCGCUCAAGGCUUGCCUAUCACCGACCAUCCACGCGUCUAACACUUGCAAAACCAAGGCAACAUGCAACAACAAAGGCCAAAUAGAGGAAACAACAAGGAAACAGACAAAAAAGGAAGAAACAAACAGUUUUGAUUUGGCUACAAAAGCCCGAAUCUCACCCUUGUAAUUUUUUCAAGAACAUUAGAAAAUAAAAAAACAAAAACAACACUUUCAAGGUGAAUUUCUACUUUUAUUUCUGUUUUAAAUACCUAUUUGAUUCUAUAUUCAUAUUUUUAUUUGAUUUUAUAUAUAUAAUAAAAUAAUAAAAUAAAAAAAGGAAGAAAGGGCUCACCGGAGACGCCCCGUGACCGCGCCGUCGGAGGGCUCUUCUCCAUUGUUGCCAUCGAAUCCGAGAGAGGGUCGGGAGUACUCCUCUUUUGUUUUUUUUGGGUCGAGAGGGCUGGGCUUCCAAGGGAGCUGUGAAACGGGGGCUAAAAACGACCUUUUGCGCAACGCCGGCCACCGGCCACAGGCCACAGCGGCGCUGCGGCGGCAACCCUGGCCUGCCAAGGGGUGGGCUGAGAGAGAGACCAAGAGAGACUGAGAGAGUUCUCUAUUUUUUUAGAAAAAUAAAAGUUGAACUGUUUUUUUCUUUUUCUUUUUGCUAUUUAUAUAGGGUAUAAAACUGCGUCGUUUUGGACUUAAGCAUCAGUGGCCAAAAUGACGCUGUUUUGCAUCAGACCCGAAAGCCAACCCGAAUGCAGUCAGGAUCCUAGCGCAUUUUAGCUUUGAGGAGCUAUUUGCAUAUUCAACCCUUCCGCUUUUGCAAUAUAGUGCAAUUUGGUCCUCGUUGUUUUUAUAUUUUGGCCGCAUAAUUUUCUGAUUGUUUUACUUUGGUUCGAGCUAAAACGCUACGCAUGGGGGCUGGGAAUAUUUGCCAGUCGGUCCCUCAUUCCUUAAGCACGCUCUAUUUCAGUCCCUAGGCUUUUUUUAUUUAUUUGCAAUUUGAACCCCAAAUUUUGGGUCGAUUUCAGUAUCAUCCUUAGUCCAUUUAAUUUAUUUGUUCAUUAUUAUUUUUUAUUUAAAAAGCUCUUUUAUUAUUAUUUGUUUUAAGUUUUUUAUUUAUCAUUUACUUUAAACUGUUUUACAUACUAUUUAUUUAAAAUUUUUUUAUAUUAUUCAUUUUAAACCAUUAUAUGUACAUUAUCUUUUAAAUUCUUAUAUACAUAUAUAUAUGUCGAAACCGUUUUUUUGAAAACAAAAAUUUUUAGUUUCGACUUAAAAAUAAAAACUGGAGUCGCCACCGAUCCUUGAUUGAGGUGUGACCGGCUCACCUUAAAAACAAUUUUGGUCUACGAGAUUUGAGAAAAUGAGUCCGGGAGUCAGUUACGCACGAGGAAGGAUUAGCACCCUCGUAACACCCAAAAUCGGUACCAAAUUGAUUCUUUAAUGCCUUGGUGUCGAAAAUUUGAAAAGAUUUUAAAAGGAAACUUUUUAUUUCAUGAAUGAAUCAAAAUAAUAAGACAUUCUUAUUUCAAAGAAAUAAAACACCACACCCAGUGAGUUAGGGCACAAUAUUUUUAAAUCUUCAAAAUACCCGAAUAUUACCUUUUGCUUUUGAAAAUUCUUAUUUCGAGAAGUCAAAAUAUCAGGACCAGUAAGUUAGGACCCAACAUUUUUGAACUCCCAAGAAUAAGCUUUUAUUUAAAAUUUACGAAUUUAUUGCAAAACAAAUACUUGGCUUUCUAAAUUCAUCGAAAAAUAAUCACGAUCCAGUCAGUUAGGACACGAUCUUUCUCGAGAAUCAUGAAUGCCAAAUAUUUUGGAAAUUUGUAAAAUAUGAUGAUUUUAAUGCCUUGACGAAGCCAAUAUAUAUUUUCUUUAAAAGCAUGAUAAAAUGUUAAUGCAUAACAUGAAACCAAUACUUUAAUUUAAAUCGUAUGUAUAUAUGUAUUUGCAAAUCGCGAAAAUAAAAUAAAUAUAAAUGUAUGGAUAUGUCAUGAAAAUAUGUGUGCAUUUAAAUAUAUGUAUAUAUGUACAAUAUGUAUAAAACCAUGAAAUAUAUAAAAUAAUAAAGAAAAAUGUGUACGUAUAUGUAACAGAGAAUGCAUGUAUGCUUUAAAUUAUAAGAUAUAGGAAAUAAAUAUGUUACAACAAUGUAUAUCUAUAUAAAAUAUAAAUGUAUAUAAAAGUAAGUAAAAGUUAUGCAAGUAGAAUAAUAAAAAAUAUAUAUAUGUAAGGUGCAUGGGUUUAUAAAAAUUAUUUUUAAGAAAAAAUGUAUGCAUAUAUUAUUGUAGAGAAUAAGCAUAUGUAUAUAUAUAGUAAUGGUAAUAAUAAUAAUGAUAAUAAUAAUAAAAAUGAUAAUAGUAAUAAUAAUAAUAAUAAUAAUAAUAAUAAUAAUAUAUGACAUAAUUAAUAAUAUAAAAAACAACAAAUUAAGGAUUAAAUUGGAAAUAAGCGAAGUUUUGAAACUAAAUUUAAAGAUGGGAAUUAAAUAAGGACCAAAUUAAGAUGCGCGCAACAGUAGGAGGAUCGAAAAGAUAAUUUGCCCAAACCUCCCAAAUGCUGCGCAGCAACAUGGACCAAAUUGAAACAGUAUUAAAACAUAUGGCCUAAUUUAAAAAAAUAAAAAGACGGAUUUAAACACCCCUCAUAAAACAGAGGACCAAAUGUGAAAUUGUCCCCUUUCACAGAAAUGCGCGGAUCCUUCCCCGGGUCGGGUCACCGCACGGGUCGUAGGGCUGAAACGGCGCCGUUUUUGUGCUUACCCUUCGGCCCAAAACAGUGCCGUUUUCGGUAAGCUAUAAAUACAAUGUUUUUUUUUAAAAAACUCAUUGUUCUUUCUAUUUCAAAAAAAAAACAAAAAAAAAAUUUCCUUUUCUCUCAAGCAGGCCCAAAAUCCGGCCAAACUCCGGCGAGUGGCCACUGCGCCGUUCACGGCGGCGGGGAGUAAAAAAUCUCGCCUUUUUUAAACUGUUUUUAGAUCCCGUUCAAUAGUCAAACUGCUUUGGCUCAAAAGGAUGACCCUUGGCCCCUUCUCCUCUCGGAUCCGACGUUCUUGAAGGAGGAGAGCCCUCCGACGGUGAACCCGCAAGGCAAAUCAGGUAAGCCCGUUCCCCUUUUACUUCUUAUUUAUUAUGCGUAAAAAAAACAAACAGAAAGAGCAAACAAGGAAAAAAAAAACCGAAUCUAAGGGAAAAAAAAACCUCCGUUUUGUAUUUUAUUUUUUCAAAUCUUUUUUCUUCGUAUUUUCCUCUCUAUUUUCGUAUGUCUUUACACUCAAGACCCCCCUUUUCAGAUCUCCCCCCACGGCUUUUAAAUAGUCGAAAAUAACAACAAAAUAAGCAACAAAAUCAUAUCUCCCUUCAAUAUUGGUUGCGAUUUUUGCUACUACUCUGCUAUUGCUGCGCCAUAUGCUUCUUUUUCGCAGGUGUGGUGGCUGUUGAGUGCGUGGGAGCGACAAGCGCGAUGUGCGGCGCUUGCGGAGGGGUGGUGCGCAGGGUGAUGCGGCGCUGAAGCAGAAAGGGCUAGGGUUUCUGGACUGGGCUAGGGUUAAUGUAAUUGGGCUAAAUUUUUGGGUUUAGUCUGUAGAUGGGUAAUUGGGUCUGCUAUGUUUUUAUUUUAUAUGGGCCCGGGCAGAAAAAUUGGGUAUUACAAUAUAUAUUAAAAAAAACUGUUGUAUGUUUCUUAUUUAUUUAUUUUAAACUGUUAUUAUUAUUCAUUUUAAGUUUUUAUAUACUGUUUAUUUGAAGCCUUUUAUUAUUUAUUUUUGAAUUGUUCUUAUAAAUUAUUUAAUUUAAAUUAUUAUUCUUUGAAUUUUUUUUUUUGCAUAUUAUUUUGUUUUGUUUUCUUUGAUUGUUAAUAUUAGUAUAAAAAAUGAUAUACAUUGUGUGACUAUUACCAUCAUGUGUACUAUAAUUAGUUUCUUCGUGUUUUCAUAUUAUUAUCACUCAUUAACAUAUAUAACAUUUUUUCAUAAAUUGUUAUUUUAUGUUCUAUGUUAUCAUUCCAUUUCACUUCAUCACUUUGAAAUUAAGUUGCCUUCAAUUUGUGUUUACCCAUAAUAAACCGUUCUAUUUUGUCACAAAUAAAACAAAUGCACCUCGUUCAAGCAUUGUACUCGCAAUUAUUCAAAAAAGAGAAAAAUUUUAAAAUAAGGCAAUAUUUCGCAUUUUGGAGAUUCGAGAAAUUGUACCCUAACUUACGAGGUUUCAAUUUUCUCAUUGAACCUAAAUAGCAAAAUAUCUUUCUAAUUUUCAAAAUUUACGAAUUCCAAUAAAGUUAAAGGCUAGCUUAUUCUCGAGGGUUUCAAGUGUCGUGUCCUAACUUACGGGAUGUGACAUUUAUUAUCUUGAGACGAGAGGAUCUUUGGCAUUUGUUUAGAUUUAUUCAAGCAAAUUCUUUUAAAUUGAAAUAGCGUUAACAAAAGGGGGAUUGUGUUUUAAAUUCUUUCGAAGUUUUUCAAUUUUUAAUAUUUAGACAUUAAUUAAUCAAUUGGGUACCAAUUUUGGGCGUGACGAGGAUGCUAAUCUUUCCUCGCAUGUAACUGAUUCCCGAAUCCGUUUUCUCAAAUUUCGCAGACCAAAAUCACUGUUUUGAUAAAUUAAAAUAUUUUAUUAAAACAACUAAAUUAUGAGAUGACCUAAUCACACCUCGUAAAAAAAAUAUUGGUGGCGACUCCCGUUUUAAUUUCCGUUUUCAAACCAACACCGACCCUUUUAAAAAAAAUGGUUUCAAUAUUAAGUUAUAAGUGAAUGAAUUAAAAAUAUGUGAAAAGUGUAAAUAAAGACUCUUCAAUCUCAUUUCCUCUAAUGCUCUUUUUUUUUUUAAUCAGAGAAGUUGUAAUUGACUGGAAUGAAAUUAAUAAUCGCCUUAUUAUUUCACUUUUUUUCUUCAUAUGUUUGGCGUCAGUACAGGUUGGACUGAUUUUAAAGUUGAAGUAAAACGAUAUCAAACAAAAACCAUUCUGGUUUUUAAAAUUAUGAGUCCAAAUCAAUCCAAUUAGUUUAACUAGAUUUUAAUGUCUUAUGUGUUAUGAUGAUGAAGCAAGUUGAUCAAGGGACUUGCUUCAUCUUUCAAAAUAUGAGUUGCUUAAGAGCCCUGUUUGACGCUUUUUUUUUUCUUAAAUUACAAACGAAAAGGUAUUUUUUAAAAAAAAAUUAACUUAAUGAAUUUUUUAUAGAUAUAAAUUUCCUGCAAAGUUAUUCUUUUUGAAAAAAUAUUUUUUUAAUUUUUUAUAUACCUUUUAAAUAGUUAAUGAAAAUAAGAGUUUUCAUUUCGAAAUGCAAAAGCCAAAAACAGUUUUUGACUACAAAAGCUGUGUGUUCUUCAUCACUUCUGCAGUGGAAAAACACUUCUGCAGUGUAAAAACACUUUUAACCCAAAACGGGUUUUCACCUAAGUAGAGAAUCCACCCUAAAAUUGUAAAUAGAAAAAGGAAGGACCAAACAUUGUUUCUACCCUGUUUUUGUCUCCUCUUUGAAAAUACUUUCCAAAAAGUUUUAUCAUUUUCUUUUUAUUAAGUUUUCUGUUGGAUCUUAUAGUCAAAUUCCUUUACAUCAUGUACGUUAAUUUGCUUCGCUCUGAUAAAUGUUAGAUAUAGGGUUAUCAGCUAAUUAGGAAAGACUGAUGAUAGUCACCCCUUACAUCCAAAAGCAAAGCUUUUUUCACAUGUGUAUGUAAGGUUGCUAAGCAAAUCUGAUGAGCCUUCACUGAUGUUUUAAGGUUUAAGUUGAUGUUCCUUUUCGGCAAAGAACAUUAUCGAGAUCACAGAAUUUUGAUCGCCUUUUGCUUGUUAUGUUAUUCGUUCUUAAACGAUUGCAUAAUCUUUACUGUGAUUGCAGGAUAUAGAGGAACUUUUGAAUUUCAUCGGUGUAACGAGUUUAGGACCUUGGCAUGUUCUUGCAAAUUUGAAGGAGCUUCUAAGGUCUGUCCAGUCUUCAGAAUAUAUAGAUACCUGAAUUAAUUUUGAUUUUGUAGGAUCAACUAUAAUUAGCUACUUAUUACAGUAUGAAUAGACAACCUGACCUUCUUCACACACGACACAUGUGCGGAUUUUUUUACCAAUCCCAUUUCAUUAAAGAAAAAAAAGAGCUUUAAAAAAGGAUCACACUUUUUUGUUGUUUACAGAAUCAUAAUGUUAAUUAGAGUGGAAUAUUUCAGAUUUCUGAUAAUGAGUAUAUUAUUGAGUAUUGCAGUAAAAAAAUGGGUGUGCAACUUAUUUGAACUUUGAAUGUAUGUUUUGUUGGUGAGAAUAUAAAGUUGAUAAAGAUUUGGUAAAUAGAAUAAAAUACUAUUUUUUAUUAGAAAAAAUAUUUGGUACACUGCCAAUCGAGUUAUAAUUAUCAUGACACAAUAUUAAGGGUAAUUAAAACAUGUCAUAUUACAAAUAAUAAAAUUAUAAUGACUCAAAUCUGCAAACAUGUCAAAAUUUACGUACAAUGAAUUAUUAACAUGUAAAUGUAUAAUAUGGUAUGCAAAAAUAAGAUCAUUGCUUGUUUUUUAAAUUGAAUUGUUAUAACAUAUUGUACAAAAUACAUUGUGAAUUAAGGCAUAAUAUGAACAUGAUAUCAAAAUAUUAAAUUUUUUUAAAAUUCGAUGAUAUGAAUAAUUAUGUAAAAUAUAACAUGAUACAAAAUAACUUGAAAGGAAAAGAGGAAUAAAGAAUUGCAUUGUUUUUGAGGUUUUAAAAUAUUUCAGUUUUAGAUUCAUUUUUCUAGUAUGUUUGGUUUAAUUUUACAUUAGAUUUCCUUUACAGUAUGCACUAGUGAACGCUUAGUAUUCAAUUUAAUUUAAUUCAAAGAGAUAUUGCAUAUACAUAAUAAUGGAUUAUGAUUUUACAUUAAAUUUCAUAGAAGAAAAAAGAAAUAGAUGGUUGAAAAUGAUAAAAUCAUAAGAUAAAAGAGCUUUUAUUUAAAAUUCAAAAAUCAACAAAAUAUUCAUUAUCGCUCAACUUAGCAUAAUUAAACAUUUAGGUGUGAAAAUCAAAUUACAAUUUGAGUAGCUAAACACAUUGCUUGAAAAUGUGAUAAGUAAGAAAAUUGCCCACAUUUGAGUAGCGACAGGUGGUGAUGCAUUUCCCAAUGAGAGAAAACCAAACUCUUCGCCAGUAUGGAUUUAUGUAGAGGACAACAAAAAUUGUCAACAACACAACUACAUAAGAAACCAAAAAGCUCACACAAAAAUCAUAAGUACCUAUCAAACCAUCUUCUCCUUUAUCUUCUGAUACAGUUGAUAUCGUUGAUGGUGAAUCGGUUUUGGAACAACUUUUAUGCAAUAUAGCUCCACAAAGAAAAAGAUUUCCCUCAUAACUGUUUUCAAUAAAGGUCCCAAAUUGAGCUUUUGGUUCGGGAAUACUACCUGACAAGUUGUUGUAUGCCACGCUGAAAACCUCCAAAGAGUUCAACUCUACCAACUGGUUGGGGAUUUCACCACUCAAAUUGUUGUAAGAAAGGUCCAAACUCUCAAUUUGAUGAAGUUUUGCUAAUGAUGAGGGUAUAACUCCUGUCAACUUAUUAUGCGACAAGUUUAAAGAAUAGAUUUCACUUAAGUUCCCUAAUUCUGGUGGGAUAUGACCAGUUAAGUUGUUGCAAGAUAAAUCAAUCCCGGUCAUAUAUAUAAGGAUGUUUCCCUCGUACGAUAAGAACCCACUCUUUGUUGUGAACUCUAUUACUUCUUCUAAGUAGCCUUCAGGAUAGUAAUAAUUUCCAAGAGCUCCCAAUGUUUUCGCUAAUCCAUCCCCUGUUAACCUUGGUCUAAUUUUCGAAUCAGUUAGAAUCUUAUUUGUUUCCGUUGAAAGGGUUAAAUUUCCCAAACAAGAAGGUAUAAUACCAGAAAACAUAUUUUGAGAAAGAUCUAUGAUGUUUAAAGAAUCCAACUUGCAUAACUGAACUGGAACUUCACCAUGAAAAUGAUUAUCUUUCAAGAGAAGAACACUCAAUGAAGAAAGUGUGCCAAUCCAUUUUGGAAUACUACCAGUCAAAUUGUUUCCUCUAAGAUCUAACGUAACCAGUGAAGAGAUAUUAUAAAAAGCGAUUGGUAGUGGGCCACUUAGUCUACUCCCGUGCAGGUGGACAUGCUUUAUGUUUAGGGUAUUAAAGCAGGACGGUAUAGAGCCAAAUAAAUUGUUUUCAGAGAGAUCCAAAAAUUCCAAGCGAUUCAAGUUGCAAAAUUCCAUUGGAAUAGAACCCUCGAAACCAUUUUGGGACAAAGCUAAUCUCUCCAAAAAUGACACAUUCCCCAUCCAUCUUGGGAGGUUUCCAUAAAACUUGUUAUUUCUGAGAUUGAUUUCCCUUAGUGAAGUUGGAAACUCAGAAAUAGAGACAUCAACAUUUGCCAUCUCCCCAGAAAAAUUAUUUCCAUCCAAAUAUAAUUUUGACAGCCCAUUUGCAUUGAGAAUCACAGGAAGCACAUGUCCACUGAGGUUGUUGUUUGAUAGUCUCAAAAUGGUCAACGAGUUUUUUGUGAUUAACUCUUCAGGUACUCUUCCAGACAAUUGAUUGUUUGAUAAAUCUAAAAUCGAUAAAUCCUUCAUGCCACUCAAACAAGGAGGGAUAUCACCUUCGAAGGCAUUCUUGGAUAAGAACAAUAGGCUCAAAUGUGGAAAAGGUGAACACACGUUGGCUGGAAUCUGACCUUGCAAUUUGUUUUGGGAUAUGUCAAUUAAAGACACUUUAGAGUUAGGAGCUGACGGUAAUGAGAGAGGACCGGUAAAUGAAUUACCCUUCAAGAUGAGAUCUUCUAACUUUGUGUUGUUUUCUAACAACCAAGUUGGGACUGUUCCGCUGAAAUUGUUAUGAGAAAGAUCCACAUAUCUCAAGUCAUAUUGGUAGUAAAGGAAGGUAGGAAGCUUACAACUGAGCUGUUGAGAUGUUAUGCACUUUGGCAAACUAAUGACUUCCAAUUGGAACUUUGGGAUUGAGGUAUAAAAGGAAGGUUCCGUUACCAUCUUGUUUUCAUUACUCAAGAGGGCUUUGAGGUUUGAAAGGUUUGCAAAUGGUGCGAAUGACAACGGAAUUUGAAAAUGGUUUCCUGAAAUAUCUAACUCACGAAGAGAUGUCAAGUUACUGAAACAAUGAGGAAG
rnacentral:lncRNA from 1 species